rnacentral:lncRNA from 1 species
ACGGAGCGCUUGACAUGAGCGUACCUGACCUCCACUGUGCUAUGCUUGCUUGAAAGCACCUCUGUUCUGGUGUAACUGAGACUGCCUCUGUAAGAGAUGUUGUUGUAUCCAAAGAAAUCCAAGCAUAAAAUCUUGUCAUCUUCAUACAAUGAACUCCCUUUGUCCUUCACUUUCAGGUCAAUCUCAAAAAUAGGCUCAUCCCACAGCACGAUAGCUCCGCUAGGACCUGUAAGUUGCAAAAGAGAAUCCUGCAUACAGUGGCACACAAAUUAAAGGCCAGCAAAUUUCAAUGGCCUUUAGGAACACCAUCACUAAAGGUGCAUCAGCAGCCAGACAAAUUAAAGGCCCGCUGUUGACGCCGGAUUUCGUCAUCAGUAGAAUCGGCGUCAAAAGAGAGAGAAAUCGAAGGGAUACAGAUGGGAAUCGGUCAAAAGGGGCUACAGUGCGGAAUCGGUCAAGUGGCUUUUACUUCACUUCAAAGUGAAUAUGUCAGAUUCCUAAUCGGCAAUCCUUUGCUGAUGAGAAAUCGGCCGAUCAGGAAGGUAGACUAAAGUGGGCCUGUAUGGGCUUGGGAAGGUGGAAAGAUGAGGUGGAGUUCAGCCCACGAAACGUGGGGUAAUUAGUUUAGCACGGAUUGUGCUUGUAGAUAUUUGUUUUCUGUUUGAAUUAGAGAUAGAGUCCUAGUCGGUUAAGAAGAUUAUUUGUACGGGGCUAUAAAUAGCUACCUUUGUAAAUCUGUAAAAAAACAAUCAAUCAAUACAACAAGCUACUUUAUUCUUCGUACUUACUUUCGAGCAGGCGACUUCGCCAUCACUUUUUCUUCUCACGAGUUCGUACGGGUUGGCAGGGCUGCAUCAUCUUGAUCUCCGGCCGAUUCUGUAAGUUCCGUUUAUCGAGUAAUAUCUAAGCUUUAACUUCUGGCGCAUCGCUGUUGUUUCGUUUGGAUUUAUUCAUCAGUUAUCGAUAUCGACUAGAUUCAUAGGUUUUUGCCUGUUUUCCUAGUUUUUAUCACCAGUUAUCCUACUAGGAAUCGGUAGUAUCGGCUUUCACCACUUUCUGUUGACAGAUCCAUCUAUUGCCGAUUAGAUCUUUUCCUAGUGCUGUUACUACAUAUCUUGUACCGAUUACUUUAAUAUUUUUCUAUCCACAAGGCUACAGGGAUCGUGCUGUCUUGUAGCCGAUUUCUCUACUACAGUAAAUCGGCCGAUCUGCCGAUAAGCUUUCCCGAUCGGAAACUUAGCCGAUCGUAGUUACUGAAUUUGACACGUGUUUUUCCUUGCCAAUCAACAGGUCAGAUUGGCUGGCACGCCGCGCGAACCGCACCAGGGCAUUCACCCGAACAGGAGCUAAGCAGAUUCUCCCGGGUCGUGUGUCGGCUGCUUGGAUCCGGUCGACCGAUUUCUAGCGCCAACACACUUUUGGCACGCCCGGUGGGACCAUUACACACUGCUGUCAUGUCGAAAGCUGCUGAAGUCUCCGAAGAUAACGUCAUCGAAGUGACGGAAGCAGAUCUAAAGGACGACCAAAAAGAGGAUCUGAAUCAGUACUUGGAGCAAGUCCGGAAAACUUGCUUGAAAUCCUUCAGUCGUUCCAGGAGCGGGGAAACUAUUAAAAAGUCUCCUUUUCCUACUCCCCGCCAGAUCACGAUCUCAGAAGAUUCGGACAAAAUGUCCGAUAUGAUUCAGCAAUCUCUUCAUCAUGCCUUCAUCAACCAGUCCCCGGUACUUUCAAACAUGGUACACAAUGCUGUUGUCAACUCCUUCGCCGGAGGUAUACCGCAGGGGUACAGGGGGCCUACUUAUUUUCAGCCGAUUCCACCAAAUCAGGCUUAUCCGACUUCACAACCGAUCCAAUCCUCUGUCGGAGGAUCUGGUGCCUCUACGUCAUCAACUCCUUUGGGAUACGGCUCCAUCCAGCCGUCCACUGCACCACUUCCUCCAGUCAUUCCUUUACCCUGGGGGGCACCCUUAAACACGACCGGUUUGAAUCAAUCGGUUAGUCAAGGUAACCUUCCGUUCCAGACACCUUCCCAAACGGCCACUCGGCCGAUCAUACCACCAUACCAACCUACCGCUCCGGAGGUCAACAAAACGUCAGAGCUCAUGAUAUAUGAUGAAACGAGUGGUGCCUACAAGCAGCCGUCCUUUACUACACCGCCGGCUUAUACUCAGAUACCACCUUUUCACCAAUCCCCUUUUAUUCAACCUCCGAUUUAUCAACAUGUGCCGAUUCCGCCGCCGGCUAUUCCCCAGCAACAACCAGAUUGGGCGGCGCAAAUCGCGGAAGUCAUGCAAGAACAAUUCGGCUUGAAGCCGAAGGUGCAAACUUAUACCUACAGGACACCAUACCCAUCCACAUACGACUUGUUGCCGUUUCCCCAUCGGUACAAAGUUCCGGAUUUCACUAAAUUUUCCGGAAUGGAUGAUACUUCUACCGUGGAACAUGUGAACAGAUUCAUCAUCCAGUGCGGAGAAGCAGCUACGCAAGACGCUCUGCGGGUACGGUUGUUCUCGUCAUCUUUGUCUGGAUCGGCUUUCCAAUGGUUCACCACUUUACCACCAAACUCGAUUAUCACGUGGGCCGAUCUAGAGAGGCAAUUUCACAAGUACUUCUAUGCUGGAGUCCACGAAAUGAAGCUGUCUGAUCUGACUAGCAUCCGGCAACGAAGUGAUGAGCCGAUACCCUCGUACAUACAGAGGUUUCGGGAAAUCAGGAACAAGUGCUACUCCUUGGCUCUAACUGAUGCGCAGUUGGCCGAUAUAGCUUUCCAAGGCCUACUGCCACAUAUUAAGGAAAAAUACGCUUCACAAGAGUUCGAGAGCCUGAGCCAGAUUGUCCACCGAUUGUCCGGGCAGGAAGUGCGUCCAUUUGACCCGAGGAGGAAUUUCCAGAAGAAAGUAGCAUUCCUGGAAGAAGUAGAGGAUGAAGAAGACGCCGAAAUCGGACUUGCAGAGUGGAUUAAGGGAAAGAAGCUGAUAUCAUGCCCAUUCGGCAAAAAGGAGCCGGAAGCAUUCGGUUUCGAUACUACUAAAGCUGACAAAAUAUUUGACCUUCUACUCCAGGAAGGACAGAUUAAACUCUCGCCUUACCACACGAUUCCCUCUGCCGAACAGUUGAAGAAGAUGAAGUAUUGCAAAUGGCAUAAUGCCACGUCGCAUGAUACCAAUGAGUGCAAAAUCUUCAGACAACAAAUACAGUCGGCCAUUGAACAGGGCAGACUCAAAUUCGAAGUGCCGGCAAAACCGGCCAAACCAAUGAAGAUUGAUCAGCAUCCGUUUCCUACCAACGUGGUGGAUUCGGGUAAGAAUCCCCUCCAAACAAAAGUGCUGACAUCCGAAUCGGCAAAAAAGAGUGGCGCUGUCGAUCCCAGGAAUCAAGUCACGUCUGAAGACAUCAAGGGGAAGCGACGGAUGGAGACCGACGACGGUGAGCCAGAAGGACCACGCAUCACUUCCCAGUUCCUGCUCCAAAAAUACCAGCGCCAACACGAACGAUCGAGGUCCCGAGAGGAAGCAAUACGUCGGCACGAGGAGCAUUGGAGAUGCCCAUUCUUCAUCCACUGUUGGGAAAAUAACCUCAGACUUCCAUCAGCCGAUACUUGCCCAGAGUGCAACGGCCCCUAUCGAAACAAUCGACCGUUCACAAGGUCUCGCUCUAGAGACGGAAGGCCAGAACCGAUCAGCAGGAAUCGGCGAAAUUCAGAUGAUCAACGCCCUUCCAUGCGUGAUCAGCUGGGGGGCAGAAGCGACCGAUAUGAUCGGUCAGAAGGAAGAAGCCACAAUAGGCAGGGGGGCAGGACCGAUCACCGCGAUCAAUCAAGUAGCAAAACCAGCGUUCACAGCCGGCUCGAAGACAUGGCCGAUGCGCGGGUAACAGACGAGAACCCGUUAGGACGCGAACCAGAAUGGGAACGCGCCGGGAAAGAAGGGAGGCCAAUAAACCCCAGAUGGUGCCCCGACGGCUUAACCAAAUCACAAAAACGGAGAAUCCAACGCCUCCGCCAAUGGGAACAGCGAGAAGAAGAGGGCACGAUGGACAAAAAGCAAGAAAGGCCUCGGGUGUGGCGCCCCAAAAGAAACGACAAAGGCAACGACGAGUCGGCGGGUGACGAAUCGGCAGCUGAAAUCGGUAUGGUUUUCAUAUUGCCGAUGGAGUUCAUGACCCCCGCCGAUCAACAGGAUGUGUCGGCGAUAGAGGAACCAACAGCAAGGUUGGUUUUAGAACCGAUGAUGGCCACGUUCGAAAAGCCCGAAGAUGACGAGCGACAACAUAUGAAGGCAUUGUUCCUUAAAGGGCAUGUUGACGGUCGCCCCCUCACUAAAUUGAUGGUCGACGGGGGAGCUGCCGUCAACAUCAUGCCAUAUGCUGUACUCCGAAAGCUGGGAAAAAGCGACGACGACCUGACCAGGACGGACAUGAUGCUCAAGGACUUCGAAGGCAAGGUGUCAAACGCUCGCGGUGCCCUCUGCGUCGACCUCACCAUCGGCAGUAAGACCCUUCCUACCACAUUUUUCGUCAUUAAUGGCAAAGGGUCCUAUAAUAUGCUUCUUGGUCGAGACUGGAUACACGCAAACUGCUGCAUCCCAUCAACUAUGCAUCAAUGCCUUGUACAAUGGAUCGGCGAUAACAUCGAAGUGGUCAAAGCCGACUCCGCAUACAGCAUCGCAGCAGCCGACGCACAACAAUGGAGCUGCGAAACUGUCAGGUGCAUAUCAGGUAGGGUGUGGGAAACCGAUUUCCUGAAGGUCACCGAUUUUGGCCUACAGCCGAUCCGAGCAGUCGGCUCCGAAGAAGCGCAAUAAAUGGAUCAGUUCGCCAGAGAAGACGGGAAGCUGGGACACGGAUUCACGUCGGCCGAUUCUUUAGAGAUGGUAGAUUUAGGUGACGGGACCAAACCAAGGCCGACUUUCAUUAGUGCAAAUUUAGAUCCAGAGUACAAGUGUAAAUUGACAAAUUUAUUAAGAGAAUUCAAGGAUUGUUUUGCGUGGGAGUAUCACGAGAUGCCCGGAUUAGAUCGAUCUAUUGUUGAACAUCGGCUACCCAUAAAACCAGGGUAUCGGCCGUACCAACAACCCGCACGACGAUGCAAUCCUAAAAUUUUACCGGACAUAAAAGCCGAAAUAACUCGGUUAAUUGAAGCAAAAUUUCGUCAUCAGUAGAAUCGGCGUCAAAAGAGAGAGAAAUCGAAGGGAUACAGAUGGGAAUCGGUCAAAAGGGGCUACAGUGCAGAAUCGGUCAAGUGGCUUUUACUUCACUUCAAAGUGUGUUGACGCCAGAUUUCGUCAUCGGUAGAAUCGGCGUCAAAGAAGAAAGAAAUCGAAGGAAUACAGAUCGGUCAAAAGGAGCUACAGUGCGGAAUCGGCUAAGUGGUUUUUACUUCACUUCAGAGUGAAUACGUCCGAUUCCCAAUCGGCAAUCCUUUGCUGAUGAGAAAUCGGCCGAUCAGGAAAGUGUACUAAGGUGGGCCUGUAUGGGCUUGGAAAGGUGGAAAGAUGAGGUGGAGUUCAGCCCACGAAGCGUGGGGUAAUUAGUCUAGCACGGAUUGUGCCUGUAGAUAUUUGUUUUCUGUUUGAAUUAGAGAUAGAGUCCUAGUCGGUUAAGAAUAUUAUUUGUACGGGGCUAUAAAUAGCUACCUUUGUAAAUCUGUAAACACAACAAUCAAUCAAUACAACAAGUUACUUUAUUCUUCGUACUACUUUCAAGCAGGCGAUUUCGCCAUUGUUUUUUCUUCUCACGAGUUCGUGCGGGUUGGCAGGGCUGCAUCACUUUGAUCUCCGGCAGAUUCUGUAAGUUCCGCUUAUCGAGUAAUAUCUAAGCUUUAACUUCCGGCGUAUCGCUGUCGUUUCGUUUAGAUUUAUUCACUAGUUAUCGAUAUCAACUAGAUUCAUAGGUUUUUACCUGUUUUUCUAGCUUUUAUCACCAGUUAUCCCGCUAGGAAUCGGUAGUAUCGGCUUUCAUUACCUUCUGUUGCUAGAUAUAUCCGUUGCCGAUUAGAUCUUUUUCUAGUGUUGUUACUGCAUACCUUGUACCUAUUACUUCAAUAUUUUUCUAUCUACAAGGCUACAGGGAUCGUGCUGUCUAAUAGCCGAUUUUUCCACUACGGUAAAUCGGUCGAUCUGCCGAUAAGCUCUCCCGAUCGGAAACUUAGCCGAUCGUAGUUACUGAAUUUGACACGUGUUUUUCCUUGCCAAUCAACAGGUCAGAUUGGCUGGCACGCCGCGCGAACCGCACCAGGGCAUUCACCCGAACAGGAGCUAAGCAGAUUCUCCCGGGUCGUGUGUCGGCCGCUGGACCGAUUUCUAGCGCCAACACACUUUUGGCACGCCCGGUGGGACCAUAACAACCGCUGUCAUGUCGAAAGCUGCUGAAGUCACCGAAGAUAACGUCAUCGAAGUGACGGAAGCAGAUCUGAAGGACGACCAAAAAGAGGAUCUGAAUCAGUAUUUGGAGCAAGUCCGGAAAACUUGCUUGAAAUCCUUCAGUCGUUCCAGGAGCGGGGAAACUAUUAAAAAGUCUCCUUUUCCUACUCCCCGCCAGAUCACGAUCUCAGAGGAUUCGGACAAAAUGUCCGAUAUGAUUCAGCAAUCUCUUCACCACGCCUUCAUCACCCAGUCCCCGGUACUUUCAAACAUGGUGCAUAAUGCUGUUGUCAACUCCUUCGCCGGUGGCAUACCACAGGGGUACAAGGGGCCCACGUAUUUUCAGCCGAUUCCACCAAAUCAGGCUUAUCCGACUUCACAACCGAUCCAAUCCUCUGUUGAAGGAUCUGGUGCCUCUACGUCAUCAACUCCGUUGGGAUACGGCUCCAUCCAGCCGUCCACUGCACCACUCCCUCCAGUCAUUCCUUUACCCUGGAGGGCACCUUUAAACUCGACCGGUUUGAAUCAAUCGGUCGGCCAAGGAAAUCCUCCGUUCCAGAUACCUUCCCAAACGGCCACUCGGCCGAUCAUACCACCAUACCAGCCCAUCGCUCCGGAGGUCAACAAGACGUCAGAGCUCAUGCUAUAUGAUGAAACGAGUGGUGCCUACAAGCAGCCGUCCUUUACUACACCGCCGGCUUAUACUCAGAUGCCACCGUUUCACCAAUCCCCUUUCAUUCAACCUCCGAUCUAUCAACAUGUGCCGAUUCCGCCGCCAGUUAUUCCCCAGCAACAACCAGAUUGGGCGGCGCAAAUCGCGGAAGUGAUGCAAGAGCAAUUCGGCUUGAAGCCGAAGGUUCAAACUUAUACCUACAGGACACCAUACCCGUCUACAUAUGACUUGUUGCCGUUUCCCCAUCGGUACAAAGUUCCGGAUUUCACUAAAUUUUCCGGAAUGGAUGAUACUUCUACCGUAGAACAUGUGAAUAGAUUCAUCAUCCAAUGCGGCGAAGCAGCUACGCAAGAUGCCCUGCGGGUACGGUUGUUCUCGUCAUCUUUGUCUGGAUCGGCCUUCCAAUGGUUCACCACUCUACCACCAAAUUCGAUUAUCACAUGGGCCGAUCUAGAAAAGCAAUUUCACAAGUACUUCUAUGCUGGAGUCCACGAAAUGAAGCUGUCUGAUCUGACUAGCAUCCGGCAACGAAGUGAUGAGCCGAUACCCUCAUACAUACAGAGGUUUCGGGAAAUCAGGAACAAGUGCUACUCCUUGGCUCUAACUGAUGCACAGUUGGCCGAUAUAGCCUUCCAAGGCCUACUGCCACACAUCAAGGAGAAAUAUGCUUCACAAGAGUUCGAGAGCCUAAGCCAGAUUGUCCACCGAUUGUCCGGACAGGAAGUGCGUCCAUUUGACCCAAGAAGGAAUUUCCAAAAGAAGGUAGCAUUCCUGGAAGAAGUAGAGGAUGAAGAAGACGCCGAAAUCGGACUUGCAGAGUGGAUUAAGGGAAAGAAGCCAAUAUCAUGCCCAUUCGGCAAAAAGGAGCCGGAAGCGUUCGGUUUCGAUACCACUAAAGCUGACAAAAUAUUUGACCUCCUACUCCAGGAAGGACAAAUUAAACUCUCACCUUACCACACGAUUCCCUCUGCUGAACAGUUGAAGAAGAUGAAAUAUUGCAAAUGGCACAAUGCCACGUCGCAUGAUACCAAUGAGUGCAAAAUCUUCAGACAACAAAUACAGUCGGCCAUUGAACAGGGCAGACUCAAGUUUGAAGUGCCGGCAAAACCGGCCAAACCAAUGAAGAUUGAUCAGCAUCCAUUUCCUACCAACAUGGUGGAUACGGGUAAGAAUCCCCUCCAAACAAAAGUGCUGACAUCUGAAUCGGCAAAAAGGAGUGGCGCUGUCGAUCCCAGGAAUCAAGUCACGUCUGAAGACAUCAAGGGGAAGCGACGGAUGGAGACCGAUGACGGUGAGCCAGAAGGACCACGCAUUACCUCCCAGUUCCUGCUCCAAAAAUACCAACGCCAACAUGAACGAUCAAGGUCCCGAGAGGAAGCAAUACGUCGGCACGAGGAACAUUGGAGAUGCCCAUUCUUCAUCCACUGUUGGGAGAAUAACCUCAGACUUCCAUCCGCUGAUACGUGCCCAGAGUGCAACGGCCCCUAUCGAAACAAUCGGCCGUUCACAAGGUCUCGCUCUAGAGACGGAAGGCCAGAACCGAUCAGCAGGAAUCGGCGAACUUCAGAUGAACAACGCCCUUCCAUGCGUGAUCGGCUGGGGGGCAGAAGCGACCGAUAUGAUCGGUCAGAAGGAAGAGGCCAUAAUAGGCGGGAGGGCAGGACUGAUCACCGCGAUCAAUCAAGUAGCAAAGCCAGCGUUCACAGCCGGCUCGAAGACAUGGCCGAUGCGCGGGUAACAGACGAGAACCCGUUAGGACGCGAACCAGAAUGGGAACGCGCCGGGAAAGAAGGGAGGCCAAUAAACCCCAGAUGGUGCCCCGAUGGCUUAACCAAAUCACAAAAACGGAGAAUUCAACGCCUCCGCCAAUGGGAACAGCAAGAAGAAGAGGGCAUGAUGGACGAAAAGCAAGAAAGGCCUCGGGUGUGGCGCCCCAAAAGAAACGACAAAGGCAACGACGAGUCGGCGGGCGACGAAUCGGCAGCUGAAAUCGGUAUGGUUUUCAUAUUGCCGAUGGAGUUCAUGACCCCCGCCGAUCAACAGAAGGUGUCGGCGAUAGAGGAACAAACAGCAAGGUUGGCUUUAGAACCGAUGAUGGCCACGUUCGAAAAGCCCGAGGAUGACGAACGACAACAUAUGAAGGCGUUGUUCCUUAACGGGCAUGUUGACGGUCGUCCCCUCACUAAAUUGAUGGUCGACGGGGGAGCUGCCGUCAACAUCAUGCCAUAUGCCGUACUCCGAAAGCUGGGAAAAAGCGACGACGACCUGACCAGGACGGACAUGAUGCUCAAGGACUUCGAAGGCAAGGUGUCAAACGCUCGCGGUGCCCUCUGCGUCGACCUCACCAUCGGCAGUAAGACCCUUCCUACCACAUUUUUCGUCAUUAAUGGCAAAGGGUCCUAUAAUAUGCUUCUUGGCCGAGACUGGAUACACGCAAACUGCUGCAUCCCAUCAACUAUGCAUCAAUGCCUUGUACAAUGGAUCGGCGAUAACAUCGAAGUGGUCAAAGCCGACUCCGCGUACAGCAUCGCAGCAGCCGACGCACAACAGUGGAGCUGCGAGACUGUCAGGUGCAUAUCAGGUAGGGUGUGGGAAACCGAUUUCCUUAAGGUCAUCGAUUUUGGCCUACAGCCGAUCCGAGCAGUCGGCUCCGAAGAAGCGCAAUAAAUGGAUCAGUUCGCCAGAGAAGACGGGAAGCUGGGACACGGGUUCACGUCGGCCGAUUCAUUAGAGAUGGUAGAUUUAGGUGACGGGACCAAACCAAGGCCGACUUUCAUUAGUGCAAAUUUAGAUCCGGAGUACAAGUGUAAAUUGACAAAUUUAUUAAGAGAAUUCAAGGAUUGUUUUGCGUGGGAGUAUCACGAGAUGCCCGGAUUAGAUCGAUCUAUUGUUGAACAUCGGCUACCCAUAAAACCAGGGUAUCGGCCGUACCAACAACCCGCACGACGAUGCAAUCCUAAAAUUUUACCGGACAUAAAAGCCGAAAUAACUCGGUUAAUUGAAGCGAAAUUUAUUCGGCAAUGUCGUUACGCCGAGUGGAUUUCUAAUAUCGUACCGGUGUAUAAGAAAAACGGGAAGUUGCGCGUUUGCGUCGAUUUCAGAAAUCUUAAUCAGGCCACACCAAUGGAUGGCUACCCCAUGCCCACGGCCGAUGUACUGAUCGACGCCGCCGCAGGGCACAAAAUUAUUAGCUUCAUGGAUGGGAACGCCGGAUACAAUCAAAUACUUAUGGCCGAAGAGGAUAUACCCAAAACGGCUUUCAGAUGUCCAGGCCAUCUUGGUCUAUUCGAGUGGGUGGUGAUGACUUUCGGUUUGAAAAAUGCUGGUGCUACAUAUCAGAGGGCCAUGAACUAUAUUUUUCACAAACUCAUCGGCCUCCUGGUGGAAAUCUACAUCGACGACGUUGUGGUCAAGUCCAAAAGCCACGAGGAACACCUAGCCGAUUUGCGAAGGGUCCUAGAGUGCACCAAAAAACAUGGUCUUAAGAUGAAUCCCAACAAAUGCGCUUUCGGCGUCUCCGCCGGACAGUUCUUAGGAUUCAUGGUGCACGAACGAGGCAUUGAAGUCAAUCAGAAGACCAUAGCGGCCAUCAACAAAGUCGUCGCCCCACAAAACAAAACUGAGCUACAGUCUCUAAUCGGCAAGGUAAACUUUAUCAGAAGAUUUAUAUCUAAUCUAUCUGGACGGAUUCAGGCGUUCACGCCACUUCUGAAGUUGAAGCCAGACCAGGAGUUUAUAUGGGGAGAAGAACAACGCAAGGCGUUAGAAGACAUCAAGCGAUAUCUGGUCUCACCCCCAGUCCUGGUUCCUCCUCAAACGGGUAAGCCGUUUAAACUAUAUUUAUCAGCCGAUGACAAAGCUAUUGGGUCGGCUCUAGUCCAAGAGUUUGAAGGCAAAGAACGGGUAAUUUAUUACGUUAGUAGAAGACUCCUGGAUGCCGAAACAAGAUAUCCUCCAGUAGAGCGUUUGUGUUUGUGUCUUUACUUCUCGUGCACCAAACUCAGACACUAUCUACUGUCGGCAGAAUGUAUAGUCGUGUGCAAAGAUGAUGUAGUGAAAUACAUGCUGUCACUGCCGAUAUUGAAAGGGAGAAUCGGCAAAUGGAUUUUGGCUUUAUCAGAAUUUGACCUACGAUACGAAUCGGCAAAAGCCGUCAAGGGUCAAGUUAUGGCCGAUUUCGUUGCCCAGCACUGUGGGCCAGAGGUCGCCUUCGUGGAAACAGCGCCUUGGCAGUUGUUUUUCGAUGGGUCAUCAUGCGGAGCCGGAUCGGGAAUCGGCAUCGUCCUCAUAUCGCCUCGGGGGGCAAGAUAUGAUUUUUCUCUGCCAAUAGAAACCGCCGCCACAAACAAUCAAGCAGAAUACAGAGCUGUAUUAAAAGGCUUACGAUUAUUGAGAGAGAUCAAGGCCGAUUCUGUUGAGGUCUUCGGAGAUUCGAUGCUAAUUGUGGAUCAGCUAACCGGAAGAGCUGAGUGCAAAGAUGACGUAUUGCGACUCCAUCACGAAGAUUGCUUACAACUGUUGAAAGAAUUCAGAUCGGCAGUGAUCGAACACAUCCCAAGAGACCGCAACGAAGAGGCAAACAAACUCGCUCAACAUGCAUCUGGGUAUCGGCCAAUUCUGGGCGCCAUGGCCUUAGAGCUUGCAGCUGAUGAUUGGCGUAAGGAAAUUGCCGAUUACCUAAAAGAUCCUUCCAAAAAGGUGGAGCGACGAGUGCGUUUUCAUGCUACCAAAUACGUGCUGCUCGAAGACGAUCUGUUCUACCGAACGAUCGAUGGUGUUCUUCUUAAAUGCCUUGGAACAGAAGAAGCCAAGACUCUAAUGGGAGAAAUCCAUGAAGGGGUAUGCGGGGCUCAUCAAUCAGCACAUAAGAUGAAGUGGAUGAUCAGAAACAAUGGGUACUAUUGGCCUACGAUCCUGGAAGAUUGUUUCAAAUAUUAUAAGGGUUGUCAGGAGUGUCAAAAGUUUGGAGAUGUCCAGCGUGCACCCGCAUCGGCCAUGAAUCCCAUCAUCAAACCGUGGCCAUUCAGAGGGUGGGGAAUAGACCUUAUCGGCCAAAUUUAUCCGCCGUCAAGCAAGGGGCACAAAUUUAUUCUGGUCGCCACCGAUUAUUUCACCAAAUGGGUGGAGGCAAUCCCACUAAGGAAUGUGACCUCGGCUAUCAUGGCCGAUUUCGUAAGGGAUCACAUCGUCUACCGAUUCGGUAUCCCUCAAACUAUAACGACCGAUCAAGGAACAAUGUUCACAUCGGGAGAAUUCGAGGAAUUUACGACCGAUAUGGGCAUCAAGUUGCUGAAUUCGUCUCCGUAUUACGCUCAAGCCAAUGGUCAGGCAGAAUCUUCCAACAAAGGAAUAAUCAAGUUAAUCAAAAGGAAGAUUGAAGAAUGCCCCAAGAAGUGGCACCUAUGUUUGACCGAGGCCCUAUGGGCAUACAGAAUGGCCUGUCACGGAGCGACCAAAUUAUCCCCCUAUCAGUUGGUAUACGGUCACGAUGCAGUUCUUCCAUGGGAGUCAAGGGCAGGAUCAAGGCGCAUUUCACUACAGGACCAGUUGUCGGCCGAUGACUACUCGGCUCUGAUGAAGGAAGAACUUGACGACUUGGCCGGCCAACGACUAAGAGCUCUAAUAAGCAUCGAAGAGAAUAAAAAGAGAGUGGCCAGAUGGUACGAUAAAAAGGUCAAGGUCAAACAGUUCUCUCCUGGAGAUUUGGUAUGGAAGUUGGUACUACCGAUUGGGUCGAAGGAUCCUAAAUUCGGCAAAUGGUCUCCUACCUGGGAAGGGCCGUAUAGAGUCGGCAGGUGCGCUCCAGGGAAUGCGUAUAUUCUGGAAACAACUGAGGGGGAAGAAUUCACUAGGGCCCUGAAUGGGAGAUACUUAAAAAGAUAUUACCCAAGUAUAUGGGUCGGGGCCUAAAGGGAUAAACACAGUCAAAUAUGACCGACACAACUCGGUUUUAAGAUUCAUAUGAAAUCGACCAGAAUGGCCGAUUACGUUCAUAAUGGCCGAUGACAUUCAUUCGGGCCGAUUACAUUCGGUACGGGCGAACCGAUUACAUGGCCGACAAAACACUAAGUCGCCCUUAGAAUAAAAAAUACAACAACUAAUUAUUCUUGUUCUUACGCUCCCUCUCAGCCCUACCCAGCUCUAUCAGGCGUCGAAUGUAUCCUUCCUCCAUGGCCUCCAUCGAACUCCCUGCUUCAGCUUGACGGGGAAGGCCCACGGGAGGGCGUGAGUCCGCCGCCGCCGCCAAAGCGACGGGCCGAGGAAGCAUACGGACUCUGUCACUAGAAGGCCGCAGGUGCCGAGGAAACGAGCGGACCCUAUCGGCAGGAAGCCGCGGAUUGCCGUUCCUUUCCAGGGAGUUCAGGAUCGCGCAGGCCGUUGAGGUGAUGUCACCACCAAGAACGCUGCUGCGACGACCCCUCACGGCUCGGCGCGCAUGUUGAUAUUCGUUCACCACGGCCUCCAGGACCACUCGAGCGUCUACGGUGAUGUGGUCUUGAAGCUCCGCCCGAUGAGCUAAGAUCAAAGCCUUGUCCUCCGGGGUCAGAGGAUCCUCAGAAUGGAGACAUUCGAUCGCGCGCACAAGCUCGGGGCUAAGGCAUUGAGGCUGAAAUAGAGAGGAAACGAGUUAAGCGCGUUCACUUCCUAAAAUCUGAAAAAGAGAAGAUGAAGCGUCACCUGGUUAACGGAGGAGGACGACGAUGAAGCCAUGACGAAAUAAGCGGCGCCGAUGAGAGGAAGAGGAGAAAUGAGAUGGAAGCCAAAUCGGUGUUAUCGGAGAGGAAGCGCCGGGGCCGAUAUUUAUGGGAGAAUACAGUAAAAACUGAUGAGGCCACGUCCCAUCGGUAAUAAGGAAAGCAGUAAAUAAAGGGGAUCACGAAGGGUCAGUCAAAAGCGGCAGUAAAUGUUCGUACAAAACGGUCAGUGCUUUACAGAUUACCCAAAAGGGUAUCGAUAGCCGUGACGGCCCGACGCCGGAUCUGAUCGGCGGAGUCCAGAACCCGUUGGUCUUCUUCUGCCGAUCCAGGGACUUCCGAUGCGGUGCGGUGGAGCCUCAGGGCUUCCUGAGCAAGACGCUGCCUCUCCCGGGUCAAAUCGGCAAUAGCCGAAGGUAGUUCUUGAAGUCUGCUCUCUUCGGCGCUGAUGGCCUUGGUCACUUGUUCCAUCUCCUUGGCAAGGUCCGCUCUCCGCCGUUUGAGGCGAUCUAUCUCACUAAUAAUCGCCGGCCGUGAAUCUUCCAAGACAUGGAUCCGCCGAUUCGCUUCUUGAGCCUGGUGCUUGAAAGCAUUUUCAUCUUCACGAAUCUUGGCCAGUUUUGCGCGAUCGGCCAUAUGACGAAGGGCUCUAAAAACUGGAAUCCUCAUGGACUCAAUAAAAGCCGCCGGUGCCAACGCCUCUUCCGCUUCCUCUGGUACGCGUCCGCUGACGUCACUAAAAAGCUGCCGAAUCGGCGAAGCAUCUUCUACCAAUCGGCCGAUAUCCCCUUGAAGGAGGGAUCGGAUAUUGAUAAGCUUAGCCCGGACGUCAUCAGGGACGGAGCUCAAGGCGACUUGGCGAGAAGAAGUCUCCUCAUCAUCGGAGAGAGCGACCGCGAAAGAGAAGAGACUGUUGUUGGGAGAGUCCUGUUCCUGAAGGAAUAAAGAAAAAGGGGUAAAUCGGCAGGGGGGCAGAAUAAAUCGGCUGGUAAAGCUGGUUCAAAAAACUCACCAUCUUAAAACGGGUUUCCUCGUGCUGCGCUUGCAGGGCCGUUGUACCUUGGUCAGUGACCUCAGUCAUGGGUUCAUCCGAUGAAGAAGACUCUACGACAAUCGGCACGGUGCUCGGACCGGCUCCCUGGGAAGGAAUCGGUUGUUGAGAAACGCUUGAUGUGCCGAUGGUCUGCGUCAAAGGAUCGGUCAAAUAUGUUAUGCAAAUACCCGAAGGAAGGCCAUAAGACAAGUACUGUACCUCAAUGGAUGAAGGCAGGGGCGUGUUGGCCUCCGGUCGAGUUGUUGCUGACUGUGGUAUUUCCAUAGAAGAGCCCUAAGAAGCACAAAAAGUUAACAAGAGUAAUUACCGAAUUGACAAAUCGGAAGAGAUAAAGCUUGAACUCACUUGUAAAGCUUCCAGCAAUAGUGAGGCGGCUGCCGCUCCGGCUUGUGUAAUGGUUUGAGUGUCAUCACUUUGUAUGGCCGGGGGUGGUGCAGUCGAGACUUCUGCCGAUACAGGUACAGGAGGGUCCACCGAUUCCGUACGAGCCCGAACUCGGCGACUGGUUUUCUUGACGACCUUCUUCUGAACUCUCUUCGAUCGGCCAGUAAUUUCAUCGACCGAUGGAGCAUCAUAGCCGAUGAGAGGGUAAGUAGUGUACGGAUGACGUUCUAUUAGCCGGCCACUGCGGCUGUGCGAGGGAGGGGCUUGAUUCCCAGCCUAAAGGAGAAAUGAAAUCGUUGAAUGCGCAAUUAUGGUGAAAAGAGUACAGACAGUAAUCAGAUAUACCUCGGCAUUGGGGUCAAUGUUGGAUGGAUCCAGGAGAUUGCAGUACGCCGAUGCUGAGUUGCAGAAUAAAAAUUGCUUCCAUUCGGCCCACCAAAGCUUGAAAGGCUGGGUUGCAAAUGGGUAUAACAGCCAUUCAUUCAGAUUGAUCGUACUGGAAUCCGGAAUUCGGUCUCGCAACCGACAAUAGUCCAGGCCAGAUCUGAGUGCUUCUCUGAACUUGAUUUGGCCAGCGAAAUACACCCGUAUCGGCAGUUGACCCAUGCCGAAUUGCCGAGCAGCAGUAGAUGGGUUGUAGAACUCAUAUGUGGGGGCAUUUUUCCCCGAGAAGAAGUUGGCCGGUAAAAGUCCUGGUUUGAUCAAUUCUUCAUAAAGACCCUCAUCAAACCGGCCAGAAGUCGAGUCAAAGCAGGUGGGAAGCUCAAAGACUGGGAUAUCUCGCUGGUAUGGGAACCAGAUGGUAGCAUCCUCAUUAAAUCCAUUAUAGAAGCACCGAAAGUAUUCGGCUACUUUUGUGGCAGAAUAUGCACAACUUGGAAAAGCUGACGCUGCUUCACCAUAAGACAUACAUCGGCGACGCUCUGUAGGGUCUUCUGCCGAUUCAAUAUUGGGAAAUGACAUGCUGUCCACUGGCUGCCGAGUGAUUCUGCUCAUAUAGAGGUUCAACCAUAAAUUGACGAACCACCAAGGCCCACCUGGGUUGCCGAUUGGUUCCCCUUUGGAAAGUUUCGUGCCGAUUUGGUGGAGCAUAUGGUACACGGCACCCAAAAGAUGUUUCCCGAGAGGAAUGCGGCUUCCUCUGGACAGUGCCUCGGCUAAAGGUUGGGUGUUGGUUGUUGGGCCGGCGGCUCUUCCACAGAAGAAGUGUUUUUCAAGCCACAUUAACAAGAAAGCGGUGUGCUCCCUAUUUUCAACAGUGCCGGUCCUCUGGUUUUCACUAAGAAAGCCCUUCCAGCCGCCGAUUCCUCUUGUGUCCAGCCGAUGCGACGGGACGUUCAGAAGUUGGAAAGGCGUGUCAGGGGAAGAUACAUCUAAACCAGUCAAGAGAACCACAUCGGCCAGGGUGGGGGUCAUAGGACCAUGACCAAAUAGAAACGCAUUAAGGGCGUCAGACCAGAAAUAGGAAGCUGCCAUCACUAGCGGUUCAUUUUUCUCCAUUUGCGACAGAGAAAGGUUGAUGCAUUGGCCGAUUCUGAGCUCAUCCCAUAAAACACUUUUUGAUGCGGCCAUCCGCUGGUACCAAUCCCUCCAGCCAGGGGUUUCAUUCGGCCAGGAUCUAAAAGUACUCGCCCAUUGAUUCAGAUUCAUAUCGGACCGCUUGAAAGGUAUCCGGUAAGUUUCCGAAUCUAUAAAGACCGCCGGAUCUGGGUUUCCCAUGGGACCAAGGCAAACGAGGCCGGGACUAUCCGUAAGGUGAAUGGUAAUUCUAUCUCUAACCGCCUAAAAAAGGAAAAAGGGGCAUAGGGAUAUAAGGAGUAGAUCUAAAAAAUAUUGCCGAUAAGGAGAAGAUUCGGUAUUUACCUCCGGGAUGAAGUUCUGAGUAAUCGGCGUAGCCGCCGACGUUGGCGCAGAUGAUGGGGCUGUGAAGGGAAUCGCCAUCGGGAUUUCUGAUGAAGCCCUUGCGUCUGUUGAAGAAGUGACGACCGUCGCCACCUCCGCCGGAGGAAUUGUUCCUGCGGCAUCGCGUGCUGGGGAGUUGCUGGAAGGAGUCGCCAUCGAAGGGAAAGGGGGAGAAGUGAUUGGAGCUGAAACUGGAAAACUUCGAUGGCAAGAUUGAAGAAAGAAGGAGGCGCGCGCGCUGGGAAGGAGAUGUGAGCUUGAAGAUGAGUUGCGGUGAAAUGGUAUUUAUAGGGUGCCUGAAAGAAGGGUAAAAAUGGAAUUUUCACCGCGCCAGCGCGUCGAGUUUUUCGGAGUAGUGGCCGUCGUGGGCGCCCGUUUCAAAAAUUGCAAUGAUCAGCCGGGAGACCGCGAAACGGAAGGAUAUUUUCACUGCGGCCGUUUCGGAGGAGAGGUUGUAAAGAAUUUCGAAGUAAAGGAUUAUGUUUUACUCCGAAACUGGGGGGCAUGUGUUGACGCCAGAUUUCGUCAUCGGUAGAAUCGGCGUCAAAGAAGAAAGAAAUCGAAGGAAUACAGAUCGGUCAAAAGGAGCUACAGUGCGGAAUCGGCUAAGUGGUUUUUACUUCACUUCAGAGUGAAUACGUCCGAUUCCCAAUCGGCAAUCCUUUGCUGAUGAGAAAUCGGCCGAUCAGGAAAGUGUACUAAGGUGGGCCUGUAUGGGCUUGGAAAGGUGGAAAGAUGAGGUGGAGUUCAGCCCACGAAGCGUGGGGUAAUUAGUCUAGCACGGAUUGUGCCUGUAGAUAUUUGUUUUCUGUUUGAAUUAGAGAUAGAGUCCUAGUCGGUUAAGAAUAUUAUUUGUACGGGGCUAUAAAUAGCUACCUUUGUAAAUCUGUAAACACAACAAUCAAUCAAUACAACAAGUUACUUUAUUCUUCGUACUACUUUCAAGCAGGCGAUUUCGCCAUUGUUUUUUCUUCUCACGAGUUCGUGCGGGUUGGCAGGGCUGCAUCACUUUGAUCUCCGGCCGAUUCUGUAAGUUCCGCUUAUCGAGUAAUAUCUAAGCUUUAACUUCCGGCGUAUCGCUGUCGUUUCGUUUAGAUUUAUUCACUAGUUAUCGAUAUCAACUAGAUUCAUAGGUUUUUACCUGUUUUUCUAGCUUUUAUCACCAGUUAUCCCGCUAGGAAUCGGUAGUAUCGGCUUUCAUUACCUUCUGUUGCUAGAUAUAUCCGUUGCCGAUUAGAUCUUUUUCUAGUGUUGUUACUGCAUACCUUGUACCUAUUACUUCAAUAUUUUUCUAUCUACAAGGCUACAGGGAUCGUGCUGUCUAAUAGCCGAUUUCUCCACUACGGUAAAUCGGUCGAUCUGCCGAUAAGCUCUCCCGAUCGGAAACUUAGCCGAUCGUAGUUACUGAAUUUGACACGUGUUUUUCCUUGCCAAUCAACAGGUCAGAUUGGCUGGCACGCCGCGCGAACCGCACCAGGGCAUUCACCCGAACAGGAGCUAAGCAGAUUCUCCCGGGUCGUGUGUCGGCCGCUGGACCGAUUUCUAGCGCCAACAAAGUGAAUAUGUCAGAUUCCUAAUCGGCAAUCCUUUGCUGAUGAGAAAUCGGCCGAUCAGGAAGGUAGACUAAAGUGGGCCUGUAUGGGCUUGGGAAGGUGGAAAGAUGAGGUGGAGUUCAGCCCACGAAACGUGGGGUAAUUAGUUUAGCACGGAUUGUGCUUGUAGAUAUUUGUUUUCUGUUUGAAUUAGAGAUAGAGUCCUAGUCGGUUAAGAAGAUUAUUUGUACGGGGCUAUAAAUAGCUACCUUUGUAAAUCUGUAAAAAAACAAUCAAUCAAUACAACAAGCUACUUUAUUCUUCGUACUUACUUUCGAGCAGGCGACUUCGCCAUCACUUUUUCUUCUCACGAGUUCGUACGGGUUGGCAGGGCUGCAUCAUCUUGAUCUCCGGCCGAUUCUGUAAGUUCCGUUUAUCGAGUAAUAUCUAAGCUUUAACUUCUGGCGCAUCGCUGUUGUUUCGUUUGGAUUUAUUCAUCAGUUAUCGAUAUCGACUAGAUUCAUAGGUUUUUGCCUGUUUUCCUAGUUUUUAUCACCAGUUAUCCUACUAGGAAUCGGUAGUAUCGGCUUUCACCACUUUCUGUUGACAGAUCCAUCUAUUGCCGAUUAGAUCUUUUCCUAGUGCUGUUACUACAUAUCUUGUACCGAUUACUUUAAUAUUUUUCUAUCCACAAGGCUACAGGGAUCGUGCUGUCUUGUAGCCGAUUUCUCUACUACAGUAAAUCGGCCGAUCUGCCGAUAAGCUUUCCCGAUCGGAAACUUAGCCGAUCGUAGUUACUGAAUUUGACACGUGUUUUUCCUUGCCAAUCAACAGGUCAGAUUGGCUGGCACGCCGCGCGAACCGCACCAGGGCAUUCACCCGAACAGGAGCUAAGCAGAUUCUCCCGGGUCGUGUGUCGGCUGCUUGGAUCCGGUCGACCGAUUUCUAGCGCCAACACCCGCAAAUUUCAAUUGCCUUCGGGAACACCAUCACUAAAGGUGAAUAAGCAGCCAGCAAUUUAUUUCACCAGUGAUGCACAUACAAAACCACUUAAUAGCAUUCUCUAAAAUGAAGAUUUAAGGAUCAGGAUGUGCCCACCUACUGAAAUCUUGCAUGUCAGGGCCAGCCAACCAAGAAGUGAAGUGGAUACCAACUAUAAAAACUACAUUUGAUAUACUUUUAAAAAUAUAACCAAGUUUUACUAUUUACGUUUUAAGAGCCAGCAGCAACAUGCAUAAAGUAUCUCUGAUGGAAAGGUUCUGAUCCUAAUUCACAGUAUCAACCUAUAUAAAUAUUUCUUCCGAAUGCUAGCUUGGAGCUAAACGCCAUAAAAAUCAGCUGAUAUUACCAGUACUACCAAGCAGAUUACACCAUAUACAUGCAUUGAGAUGCUUAUAGUAGAUUAAAUGGGCGAUGGAAUAGGACAGAAGUUGAAACACAGAUGUUUGAACAUGUCUGAGAGGUGAGGGUCUGGCAAUUAUCUCUGCCUCGACUGAAGAGGUAGUUGCGCUUCCAGUCUAGGGAAUCACGCACAACGACAAUGCCAUAGACAUCUAGUGGCCAUUGGAGGUCGUUGGUGAUCUGAGUCACCUUGACGAAGAAGACCUCCAUGGUAUCACCAGAACCACAUCCAGCAGUUACUGGCAGCAUCGGUAUGUCCGUGUAGCGCAUGGGAGGGUACUGAGCUGAAAAAGGAAGGGGGUUAUUUGUUAAUCCAGUCAUCUAUCCCUUGACAUCACAAUUGAUUAAUGAUGAAGCAAACAACUGCUAUGUAUAAGGAAAAACUGUUACUCGUAGCUGGAUAUGAUAAAAUGGCUUGGAAAGGGGAUUUUUUUUACUAUAAACAUUUGUCAAGCAAUGUAAUUAGGAGCAAAUAUACGGGGAAAUCACAUAGAUCUCAAGCCAAUAUCGGAUAGAAAUGGGGUUCAUAUUAACAUUUAAUAUUAUCUUUUAUUCUUUCUAAAAUAGAAUCAGUAGGCCACAUCAUGACGUUUUUUCUAACCUACACCCCGUCUGGCUAGACAGACCUCCUACCAUUGAUCUCAAGCACCAGUCCCCAGCAAGUUCAUGCGUCUAAUCAUGCCUCCUUGAUAUAAGAAAAGAAACAAAUGCUACGGAUUUGAAAUUACGGUUUUUGAGUGGAAUCCUAAUCCGUUGGCCACGACUGAAGAAAGCUCCAACAAGAUGAUCAAGACGAGGAAAAGCUGAUCAAGACGAGGAAAAGCAAGAGAGAUGUGCAGGUGAAUACGUACUCUCGGCCUCGAAGGGGAUGGCGCCAUUUCUGCCGAACAUCGAGAGCCAACUCUUGCGGUGCAACUCAAAGCAACCCGCCGGCCCCAGCUCCUCCUCCUCCUCCUCCUCCUCAUCCGUCUCCAUAGCGCUGUGGUGGUCGCCGUUGUUGGCCUCGCGCGGCCUUUUAGCAUCGCCGCCCUGAAGCACUUGACCCGCGGCCUUCUCCAGAUCCAGAUCAGACCUCUUGUGGCCGUGGUCGUGGCCGUGGCCGUUCUCACCCAGCUUCGCCUCCAGAUCCAUCGCCUCCGUAUUCCGCCGCCGAGAAGGUUAGGGUUUUUGCCCCGCUGCCGAAGAGAAGGCUAGCGAGAUGCCUCUAGAUCUCGGAUUGGUGUUGUGUUGUGUUGGGACGGCUGGGGUGGGUGAGUGAUCACCUUGUUGACUGAUGAGGUGAGAGAGGUCCGCGGGCUGCUUGGAUCAGUCAAGGGCCUGUACAUUUCUCCCGGCCCGUCUUGGAUGACACGGGGAUGGCCCAAAUCUGGAGGUGGAUGAUUAGGGCCCUGUUUGAGUUACGUGGCAGUUUUUCAGCGUGAAAAACCAGAAGCUCAAAUAAGGCCCGUCUUGGAUGACACGGGGAUGGCCCAAAUCUGGAGGUGGAUUAGGGCCCUGUUUGAGUUACGUGGCAUUUUUUCAGCGUGAAAAACCGGAAGCUCAAAUAAACAACGAUAUUCUCAUGUAGUUUCAGAAAACUGGAAGUCUAAAAGAAUUGAGUUUAUAUGGAAAGAUGGAAAGCUCAGUUUUGUGCGCUUUUCGUAGCUUUUUUCUCAGAAAGCUAACUAAAUCUUCUACAAGCUAAUGUUAGCUUUUUUAGAAGCAAAAGGCCAGCAACAGCUUUUCAGAAAAGUUCAAAAUCUGCAACUCAAAGAAAUAGGUCCUAGAUUUUCAAAGAGCUAGCCCAUUUCGAUUUCUUGUCACACACAUUAGUAAGGCCUAGGUGACGGGGGACUCAGGUAAAGUACCAAAGUACUGUCGCGAUCAGAUGGACCUCCUGGCGGGUUGCGGGCUACUGCUGCUACACCAAACCGGUAUUCCUAUAUAGCUUCCGGAAGCUCUAUUAUUACGUGGCUUCCGAUAUUAUCAUGCAAAUAGUUUCAUCAGUUGGAUAUGCCAACUCUCGCCAACCCUACCCCUCUCUCUCACCCGACGUCGCUGCUCCGCGAGCGCUGCCAUCAUUGCACCGUCCGCCCUACCACUGGCACAGCAUGCCCCGCCACCGUCCGCGGCCGCCGGUCUCGGCCAGGACGCCACCGCUGCUACCGGAUGCCAUCGCUGGAGCCAGACGCUGAUGUGACGGGUUCCGUACCAGGGGUACCUUCAGGGAGGAAGACAGACAGCAUUAAUGUGAUACGGAUCACAGCAAGAUUUUAAGAAAUGGAGAGAAGAAAUAUAUUGACAACAGGACAUAUAAGCAUUAAUGUGAUAACCAAGAUGGUACUUCAGACUGUUUUUUUUUUGGGGGGGGUCCUAGAUAGCAGGACCUUUUUUACAUAAGAAUAUCUAAAACUACUGAUUUGCCACAUUUAUGUCAAAAACUUAAUUGAACUAUCCAACUCCAUAUAUAAAAGGAAGGAGUGACUUCUUUUUCUGGAAGAAACUCUACGCUGAUGCCAAUUCCCUCAUUUUCAUAAUAAAACUAUUGAAGAAAGCCAACGCAGUUAAGUAAAAUGUGACACUAACAUGACUGUCAAAAAUCACUCAUUGGUGCACCCUGAUGUCCAUAAUCACUCAUAUAUAGAAGCAAGGUGGUAGUAACUUUCUUUUUAUGGAAAAAAAUUCUAGGCUGUUGCCAAUUCACUCAUUUUUCAUAAUACAACUAUUAAAGAAUGGCAGCACAGUUGAAUAAAGUGCGUCCAAAACCACUUAUUGGUGCAUCAAAGAUUUAUAAGGCACUGGACUUUCAUUUAAGGCAAUGGCAAUGGCAAAAAUUUUAUAAUUAGACUAUAUUUAAUACUUCUAAUUAGCAUCCAAACAUCCGAUGUGAUAGGUGCUAAAUUUUAGUGGGGUGUAUCCAAACACCCCUACGUUGAAACUCUACUGGUUUUUGGCACAUGGAGUAGCAGUAAAAUAUGCUUUCUGGUUUGGAGGGUUUUCUUUUUGAUAAUUUGGUUUGGAGUCUUGGAGAGAUAACUGCGUCAUGGAUAUGUCUCGAGUUCCCAGAGGAGAAGAGGGUUUCUUGCACGCUGUGCAAGCAUUUAUGCGGCCUAAAUCACCGUGCAUUAUCCUCUUGGGUGAGGUGCCGACCGUUGGCUCGGCAAGCCAAGCCAAAGCCACUGUUCUGUCCCUGGCCGCUGCUGCGCUUCUGCCCCAAAAGCCGGGAAGGCCAGAGCUGAACAGAGACGAGGUCGUCAGCAUGUGGCUCCCUCGUGCCAUGGACUUCGUGCUCAAAACGAAACGAAACGAAAACCUGUUGGCGGCUCAUCGUCAAGUUGGUCCCAAAAAAUGCUUAGGUAAUCCAGAAACAUACUAAAAUGCUUCAGGACCAUAACCAAACCAAAUCUCUACCGCACUAACUUAAAGAACAAUACUGCUGCUUCAAGAAAAAAAUAUUUGGCCAUCACCCUGAAGAUUAAAUUUGAUGUAAUUUUCAAGAAAGAAAAGAUAAGCUACCUCUGGUUUGGGCAAGAAUAAUCAAAUUUAUAGCAUACUUAGUAAUCAGUUGUAGUUAAUUGUUUAAUCCUAGAAAGAUCAUGGUAAUGACUAAUACAAAGAUGGUUUUCAAUAGAUAGCUAUAGCUCUGUGAAUAUAUCUCUAUAGGUGGCACAGAGUAUUCUGGCACCUCUACAAACAUUAUAUAAAACCUUAGACUUGAAAUAAGUACAGAAUCUACAAUUCUACAUGGAGCUGAUAGGUACUAUACCAGUAUUGUUAUCGAAGUAAAACUAAAUGACAUUCCAUGCAUUUCAAAUGCAAAAGUAGAAGAAUUCAUGAUCAACUUACCAGGCCAGAAAGAUCAAAUGGUCAGAUAAUUAUAUAAAGAACACCACCCCUACUUAAAGGUUAAAGAUAACCAUUUAUUUACAGCCUGCAUAGCCCAGCUGCUGGUCUAUGCCUCAAAGUUCAGACCUAAUAUAUGUGCCAGCCGAUGUCAUCUUCAUUUGACAAACUUGCACACGAUGGUUUUCAAUUUCUAAUUUACCCAUAAGCUAGAUACGAUCUAAAGAAGUAAGCAUACCUGCAAUGGUACCAACUGUGACUGUAGGCGCUCAAAUGCAGUAUGCCAUCGUUUAAAUUUACCUGGCCUUUUCAUAUGCAUUCAUUGCUUUAACCACCAAUUCAACUAUAUAUCACUGUAAAAAAUACAUAAAAAAACAAGGAUCGUGCCUGGAUGCCUGCAAAAGCAUAACUUGACCACGAGAGAACAUUCAGGCAAAUUUGAGUCUCAUUAAUAACAGCAGCAGAAUUUGGACGGAAUUACAAGUGUACGUAUCAAUCUUAAGCCACAAGUGCUUGUAGAUCUAAUUUGGUGCGACAUCCUCCCUAUCGUACUACAGCUUGAGCAGUAGGAACAACGGCCGUGCGCAAAAUGAGGCCAAGGAAACCAGGUACGUCCUCUCUGCUGUUGAUUUCAAGACCCUCAACGCGUGGCAACAGACGAGGGUUGUCCUGCAUAUUACCACGUCCCUCUCUUUCCUUGCAGCUCAGGGCAAACACUGACGCUGAGGACCAUUCCUGAAGCCAUGACCACAUCUUCGGUUAUAAAGUGACGCUCUGGCCAUCCUCCAUGAUCUCCAGAAGCCUUGCUCGCAUACGCCUGAAGCGGACAGCUUCACAGAAUAGGACUAUCAACUGAACCAGCGCCUUCCUUUGCCUUGUCAUUUCUGGAUUCAUUAAUCCAAGUUUUGGAUUGAAAUGAAAAAGCACAUGGUAGAGAUUAGUCAACACUGGAGUUCCGAACACCAACUGCUCCCUGCAAACGCAACAUGAAAAGCACUGGUCACUACUAGGGAAUGCACCUUCAGUUUUCCAGGAGUGAGUGUUGAGUAAUAAUAUUAUUUCCCUACAAAAAGAAAAAAAAGGAAAUUUGGUGCCAAUUGUAGAAUUAUGUUUUGACAAUCCUUCCGGGCACAUUAUAAUCAUUGGCAGAAUUGAAAUUAUUCACAAGGGUAUAGCCCACAAAAUUACACACAAAAUCAAGUGGAAGAAAAAGGGUUAGUGGCAAUCUAAAUCAUCUGAAGAUAGAGUUUGUAAGCAAGUUGGUCCCAAAAAAUGCUUAGGUAAUCCAGAAACAUACUAAAAUGCUUCAGGACCAUAACCAAACCAAAUGUCUACCGCACUAAUUUAAAGAACAAUACUGCUGCUUCAAGAAAAAAAUAUUUGGCCAUCACCCUGAAGAUUAAAUUUGAUGUAAUUUUCAAGAAAGAGAAGAUAAGCUACCUCUGGUUUGGGCAAGAAUAAUCAAAUUUAUAGCAUACUUAGUAAUCAGUUGUAGUUAAUUGUUUAAUCCUAGAAAGAUCAUGGUAAUGACUAAUACAAAGAUGGGAUCGAAUGUAGUACCUGUCGAAGCCACGGGUCAGGCGACUGUAAGAUGACACUAAGCCCAUACUCUCAACUGCAGGGUGGUCUGCUGGAAGUGGAAUACAGUGGUCGGAGAACUUGAGCCACUUCCCAUCCCCCCUCCGUAUGGCCACAAGGUAGGAAUCGAUCUCGUCGACGAGUAUCGAGACCGUCGGCCUGUCAGGGAACAGAAAGUUGACACGACGCCAACCUUCCGUCGCAGAAGUGAGGGGGACGUCGGGGAAGAGAUUGUCCUGCCCCGGGCCGGCACGAUCCAAAUCCCGCUGCGCCAGCCAAUUCAUCACGUGUUCGUACCCCUGGAGGGACGGAUCCAUUGCGUCGAUAUCCACUGAAGGAAUCCACUGCAUAUUGCAUAAAAAGACCAAAGAUUUAUCAUUUUCCGACCAAAUCGUUAGAGCAGAAUUAUAAUCGGUCGACCUGGUGUUACCAGCACAUGUUACACACAUAGACAUUACUCGACAUUGCAACUACUAUUCCUAAUUCCGCCUCCACAGAGAGAACAGCACCAAAAACUCAAAAACAAAGAGUAUAUGACAAGAGCAGGUGUUAUUUUAGGGUUAGGAAAAGAACAGCCUCAGCCCUCAGCUCAGGCCAGACGCCCCGGCACCUCCCAUCCACGGACGGGAGCGGUGGCGAGCCGAGUCGGCCCCUCCCUCCCACGAACGGGAGCGGCGGCGAGCCUGGGUCGGCCCCUCCCAUCCACGGACGGAAGUGGCGGCGGCGCCCCCGAGUCAGCACCUCCCUCCCACGGACAGAAGCGGCGGCGAGCCGGCGGCGGGAGCUGCCGGCCUGCGACGACGCCCCGGCUCAGACCUCUGCGGACGGGAGCGGUGGCGGCGCCCCGGCUCAAACCUCCUGCGGACGGGUGCGGCGGGGGCGCAGGCGCAGGGGAGAUCGGGAGGGGGAAAGGAGUUCUCUUUCUCUCUCCCACUUACAUGUGGGACCCACAGAGGCCUUCACGGCAAGUGACGGUAGAAUCCAACGGAAUGGCAAGUACGGGAUGGCAAGUAGGGGAUGGAGUUAAAUUUUCAGUGGUACUGAGGGGAUGGAGUUAAUUUUGAUGGCACGUAAGGGAUGAGUUAAAUUUUUAAUGGCACAGAGAGAAUUUGCUUAGGGUUUUCCAUGUCCCUUCGUCCAAAAAUAAAUCAUUAUAUACUUCCUCCGUAGCAAAAUAUUUAUCGCUGUUAAACUUUUUCUGAUACAUUGGACCAUUCAUUUUAUUCAAAAAAUUAUUGUAAAUGUAAAAAAGAAUAGUAAGCCACAAACAAAAACAAAAUUAAUGAUGCUUAAAUAAUUUUUAAAUAAGAUGAAUGGUCAAAUGUCAUGACUAAGUGUUAGUGACAACUAUUUCUAUACGGAUAUUAUCAUUCAAAAUUUGUCCAAGAAAAUAAGUUAUUACACUUAAUUUGGUACGUGCUUAUAUGCAUACAGGUAUGCAUCAGUCAGUUGGCACCAAAAUAAAUAAGGUCAUUUUAACUCCUUGUUUUUUUUAAUCCAUCCUACAAUUUCUUGGGUGAUUUGUUUUUUAGACGGAGGGAGUAUGCAUGUUUGUCUAAUUUGAUCACAUCAUAUCACGAGAUAAAUUAAUAUCUUUGUCAAAUUCCUUAUGAACUAUCCAAAUCCAACUAUUUAGGCAUGUUGUCUUUUUUUUUCCUUAGCGUAAAUUUACGGCAUGCAAAGUAGGCCCUCCUAGUGGUCCGAAGCGAAGGAUUGCACUUAUUUUAGGAUUUUUUUGAAGUGUUAGAAUUGCGGUUUUUAUUAGGUGAAUGGAGUAUGUGAAAGUUUUCACCCUUUGCAUUUCAGUGGUACGUAAGUGUCGUUGUCAAAAUUAGCGGAUCAAGACUUAGACUAGUAAAUUUCUUUUAUGUCUUUUAUGCAAGUAAGGCUUCGGAUGGUGGCGUGGGAGACACGGGGUUUAGACUGGUUCGGGCAAGGGAACGCCCUACGUCCAGUAUCGGGAGCUGCUCGUGUUGCCCACGCAGGGUUCUGUAGUAGGGGUUACAGGAGUGCGAGAGAGGGAACCGGUCCCAAGUCUCUUGGAUGUGGCCUGACGCUCUAGCAGGGUGCGCUCGUGCAUUCUGUUGUCUAGGGAGCGUUAUGGUGUCUUAGUUGUGCGUUCGGGCGAGGCGGAGCUUGGUCUCACGGGGGUCGGGGAUGCCUGACCCGAGGAUACCAGGUCGGGCGAGGCGGAGCGUGAUUCUCGUCCCCCGUGUUGGGCCGACGGUAGUCGUUAUUCCCUUAGGCGGGCCUGGGCCUUCGCGUUUUUGUUGUUUCCAUGGGCUUCGAAGGGUCGUUAAUAUUUUCCCCUGACAAUAGCCCUCGAGCCUGUGGUGGAGCGGGGACGCUCCUCCAGAGGCUGUUGUCAUCGCCCGCAAGGGGUCUUCGCGGUUGAUCCGGGACGGGAGGUGUCGCUUGCGUGUCUUGACUGAGGGGGCCGACCAGGCGACGCAUUUUUGUGAGCGACCCGGAGUGGGGGGAUUCCUGGUCGUUCCCUUCUGUCUGAGAGUCUUUAAGUCGAGGCCACCCGUGCGGCCUUUGGUUGCGAGGCCAGCCCCCGAGCCCCCGCGCGUUGCAGGGAACCGGUCGGGAGACUAGGUCGACUUUUGUACGUUACCCCUCGUCGGUUCGCUGGGACGGAGGGGACGAGCCGUGCCACGCUAUCCUCGUCGGACGAACCGUGGUGCUCAUGGAGCUACUAUCGGGCGAGUUCGAGUGGGGUCCCUGUAAUACCCCGUGUUAAUGAUAGCUUAAGAAUAAUAUUAAGAAGUUAAUGGUGAAGUUGGAUUAGAGGAAGGUAAUUUGAGCCAAAGUCAAAUUUGAGCAAAUUUGCAAAUUGGAGUUUCAAAUUUGGAUAGAUUUGGCUAAGAUAUGAAAUGGAGACUCGAGAGUAUUUAGAACUCAAAAGGGUGAAGCUUGGGAUCUAAUUCAAGUCCGACCUCUCGGAAAUAUAAUCGAAGAAGAAAUCAACAAAGUUACUAUUUUCCGUCCGAAAAUAUGCGAAUCUGGAAAUCAUAACGAGUACCCAACUUCGAAAUGGGUUUCUGCAUAAAUUUUCAUGUAAGGGGGUAAAUGUUUCUGAACAUUAAUGAAAUAUGGUCUUUAGACAAGCCGAGUAAGAUGUUGUGGGCCAGAGAAAGUGGAGAAUUCACAUUUAUACUGAAGUCCAAAGAUGGCAGGUUGAGCUGAUUUCAGCCGAGAAGACGCGAGAAAUUUCUAAGUCUGAAAAUGAUGUUGAGUACAUGACUUUGGAGCCAAUUUCUGGAGAAUUUUCCUUGUAAGUGAGCAGAUGUUUCUGGACAUUAGUGAAAUAUGAACUAUGGAGAAGGUAAAUAAAAUGUUUUAGUCCAGAUAAAGUGGAAGGUUUGAAUUCAAAAUGGAGCCAAAUGUCAGCAAAUGAGCAGAUUUCGGGCUCCUUGCUGAAAUAAUUCUAAGUCUGAAAAACAGCAUUGGUUAGCAAUGUUUGGAGCCAAUUUCAGAAAAAUCUAGUGUAAAAGUUAUAUGGUUUCUUGUGCAAAAUGGAAUCCUUAUUAGUUUUAGAGCACGAAUGGUGAGUGGUUGGACUAUAUGGCAUAAGUUUGGGCCACUGAAAUUGGGUCCAAAGGAGGGUAAAUGACCACACUUGAGGACUGUCGAAACUGAAUCGUGGAGGUUCAGUUAACAGGAAAUGAUGACAGGAACUUUGAGCUUCAAAAUCUCGAUCUUAGGAUGCUUAUUUCGGUUGGAGGCCAAUCUAUAAAAUGGAGUACUUGGAUUACUCUACAAGUUUACUUAAGGGAGUUCUACGAGUUGAGAUGGAACAUCUUGAGCAAUGGAGGUAUGAACAGGUCGGUUUGGAAGGAAGAAAGAAGAACAGAAGGAAUAGAGAUGACAGUGCCGUGCUGCCGCCGGCUCUCGCGCAUGCCGGCCAGCGCGACGGCCACGUCCGCGCCACGCCGCCUACCACGAGCCGAGCUGGAUGUCAUGCACGGUAAAAGUUUGCACCACUACUGCCUCGCCCUCAUCCAGUUAACCCUCCGCCUUUUGUUUUACCGCCGUGCAAGCCAAAGCUCGGUCAAGCAACGUCGCUGCCGGCCGAUUCACCCACGCCGCCGCUCCUCUUUGCGAUUCCACCCGCCCAAGGGUCCGCCAGCUCCUCCUCAACGCCCCACGCCCCUCCGUUUCUCAGCUUCCCGCCGUCAAGCUCCGAAUUGCCGCUGUUUUAAUCCGCCGGCCGCCGUCACCAAAUCCACGAGGUGAGCUUCUGAACCGGCUUUUUCUUCUCAAUUCGCGGGUCUAGGGGCAUCCUGCGAGCGUGUUGAAGAUGAAGGAGGAGUUGUGGCAGGCGCUUGCGCCGCCUCCGUGCGCCGCCAGGGCCGGCAGCUGGCCGAGCCACAGCCGCCCGUGGAGGGGCCAGCUCGGACCGCCUCCCGGCGAGCUGCGGCUGGGCGCGGGUGCGCCUGGCCUGGGCGCCGCCACCCCGGCCCGCUCAGCCGCCGGAGAGCCGCCGUCGGCCGGGCCGCCCUGUUUUUCCCCCCGUCGGCGUGCGCCUGACCUUGGCCAGGGGAAGAAGAAGCCCCUGACCGAGGGGGCCCGCCCGCCAGCCGCAAGGAGGGGAGGGAAAGAAAAAAAGAAGAGGGCCAGCCAUCCGUUUUGGGCCAAGGGAAAGCACCGGCCCAGCUGGCCCGCGCGGCAUAAAAGAAGAAGGGGAGCAGGUGGGCCGAUUGUUGGAUUGGGAAGAAAGUGAGCCGUGCGGCCCAGGUGGAAAUAGAGAAGAAAGAAGAGUGGGCCGGCGGGUGAAAGGAAGGUCGUGGGCCGGAUUAGCAGGCCGAGCAUCGGAGGGAGAAAAGAAAGAAAGGUUGGCCGGCGGGUGGUUAAGGAGGAGGAAAGAAGGGGGAGCCGGCCCAAAAGGGCCUGCCGUAGGGAGGCCCACGCGUCGCAGGUUAAGAGCUGGCGGGCCACUUUUCGGCCCAAGGAGAGGUGCCGGCCGUGGGCCCCACUCGUCAGUAAGUAGAAAGGGAGGAGAGUAGGAGGCCGGAUGGGCCCUAGGUGGAAGUGGUGGUGGGUAGAAGCAAGCGGGGUGAGAAAAGUUUGGGCCGGAGUUUUAUGAAUAAACCUUAGGUUUUUCUUUUAUUAGAUAAAUAGAUUAAAUCCGGUUUACACCAUUUAAUUCACAGAAAAUUUUAGAAGUGCUCAAAAUUAGUGAAACCAAUUUUAUUAGGAUUUUUUUAUUUUUCUUUAUGCAUUAAAAUUUUUAAACCCUAGGAAAAAUAAUAAAAAUUUAGGUAUUUAUUUAAUGCCUUUUUAUUUAAGGUAUUUAAAUAAAUGCUUAAACAUUAUUAAAUGUAUAAAACUUGAAAAAUACUUUAUUAUCCACAAAUUAUUAUUAAGUCAUAGGAAAUAAGUUUUAAGAUUAGAAAAUUAUUAUAAUGCUUUCAAAAAUAAAAGAAAAGGUCUAAGGUAGGAUUAGUAAAUGAAAUAAAAAUGGUGGGUUAAUCUUUUCGGGUUGUUGUGUGUGUUGGCUUGCAACUUGUUGACGUCAGAUUUUGACACGAGUAAAAUCGGCGUUAGGAGAAGGGGAGAUUGGAAGAUGCGGCGAGAUACAAGGGCGAUGAUUGGAAAUCGGUCGAUUGGUGCUACAGUCAAGGAUCGGCCAAUUGAUGCUACAGUCGAUGAUCGGCCGAUUGAUCCUUGGAGUUCCGCCUCGCCCGACCCCUGAGGUUUGGGAUCGGACGCGCCCGACCCUCCAAGGGAGGAUCUCCGCCUCGCGCGACCCCUGAGGCUUGGGAUCGGACGCGCCCGACCCUCCAAGGGAGGAUCUCCGCCUCGCGCGACCCCUGAGGCUUGGGAUCGGACGCGCCCGACCCUCCAAGGGAGGAUCUCCGCCUCGCGCGACCCCUAAGGCUUGGGAUCGGACGCGCCCGACCCCCAAGGGAGGAUCUCCGCCUCGCUCGACCCCUGAGGCUUGGGAUCGGACGCGCCCGACCCCCAAGGGAGGAUCUCCGCCUCGCCCGACCCCUGGGGUUUGGGAUCGGACGCGCCCGACCCUCCGAGGGAGGAUCUCCGCCUCGCCCGACCCCUGAGGCUUGGGAUCGGACGCGUCUGACCCUUUAAAGGAGGAUCUCCGCCUCGUCCGACGUUAGGCCCCAGGGUCGGGAUGAGUCUGAGCCCUCGACGUGUGGGUCCUGAUCGGUUACCCCCAUGCCAAAGAGGUGAUCGGCCUUCGGCCGAUUAGGAGGUUGGAAUAGUUGGGCCGAUGUGGGCUUAAAAAAGAUUAUGAAGAUGAAGAAGAGGUCAUGAAGCGCGUGAAAAUAGUACGAAUCGUACUUGUAAAUAUUCGUUUUCUGUUUAAAUUUAGGGAUAGAGUUCUAGUCGGAUAAGAAGUUUUUCUGUUUAAAUUUAGGGAUAGAGUUCUAGUCGAAUAAGAAGUCGUUUGUACGGGGCUAUAAAUAGCCACCCUUGUAGAUCUAUAAUCAUAAUCAACUCAAUACAAUAAACUACUUUUUCCUCGCACUUACUUUCAAGCAGGCGACUUCGCCAAUACUUUUUCUCCUUUUUCACGAGUUCGUACGGGUUGGCGGGGCUGCAUCGACUUGACCUCCGGCUGAUCUUGUAAGUUCCGUUUAUCGAGUAAUUUCUAAGCUUUUAACUUCGGGCGCAUCGCUGUCGUUUCGUUUAGAUUUAUCCACCAGUUAUCGAUACUUACUAGAAUUCUAGGUUUUACCUGUUGUUCUAGUUUUAUCACCAGUUAUCCAGCUAGGAAUCAGUAUUUUCGGCUUUUCUUGUAUUUUGCUGUUUAAUCUACCUAUUUCAUGCAUAGCCGAUCAGAUCUGUUCCUAGUGUUGCUAUCGUAGCGUUGUUUAGAUUACUCUAGUAGUUUUCUUUAUAAACGUUGCCUGGUAAUCGGUUGCAUCAUAGCCGAUUUCCUUAUUACUGCAAAUCGGCCGAUUCGCUGAUAAGCUGUCUCAAGAUCGGAACCUUAGCCGAUCGCAACCUCUGGGAACUGACACGUUUAUUUCCUUGCCAAUCAGCAGGUCAGAUUGGCUGGCACGCCGCGCGAACCGCACCAGGGCGAUCACCCGAACAGGAGCUAAGCAGAUUCUCCCGGGUCGUGUGUCCGACGCUGGAAAUUCGAUCAGUAAUUUCUAGCGCCAACACACUUUUGGCAUGCCCGGUGGGACCAAUACAACCGCCACCAUGUCGAAAGCUGCUGAAGUCUCCGAAGAUAACGUCAUCGAAGUGAUAGAGGCAGAUCUCAGGGACGACCAGAAGGAAGAACUAGAGAGUCAGACGGCAUACUACCGGAAGACAUGUCUGCAGUCCUUCUGUCGCACCAGGAGCGGGGAGACUAUCAAAAAGGCUCCGUUUCCAACUCCCCGCCAGAUCACAAUCACCGAGGACUCGGACAAGAUGUCCGAGAUGCUCCAGCAAUCCGUCUAUCAGGCUUUCAUUGAUCAAUCCCCGGUGCUUUCUAAUACGGUGUACAAUGCCGUCAUCAGCUCCUUGGCUAGCGGUGUAUCCCAAGGGUACCAGGGGCCGGCAUAUGCUCCGCCGAUUACGGCUCCGAACAAGAGUUAUCCGAAUUCGGUUUCUCAGCCGAUCCAAUUUCCAGUUGGGGGUUCUGGCGCUUCCUCAUCAUCAAGCCCUAUGGGAUUUAAUGGCACGCAACACCUCCAGCCACGUCCCAUUCAGUUGUCCUCUGCACAGUUUCCUCCGGUUAAUCCAGCGCCUUGGGGGGCACCAUCGGUGACGGCCGUCCAAGAUCAAUCGGCCAACCAUGGAAGCCCCCAAUUCCAGGCGUCUUUCCAGGCGGCCGCUCGACCAACCAUGCCGCAGUACCAGCCUGUCGCACCGGAGAUGAGCAGAGCAGCAGAGCUCAUACUAUAUGACGAAACAAGCGGCUCAUUCAAACAGCUGGCCCUGAAUACGCAGCUGGCUAUGACGCAUCAAAUGCCACAUGCUUUCACUCAGCAUCCAGUCGUCCCGCCGCCAAUAUACCAUCACGUACCAGUUCCUCAGCCGACGGUUUACCAGCAACAGCCGGACUGGUCGGCACGUAUAGCAGAGGUGAUUCAGGAACAAUUCGGCUUGAAGCCGAAGGUGCAGACCUACACAUAUAGGACACCGUACCCUCCUACAUACGACUUACUACCGUUUCCCCAUCGGUAUAAAGUUCCUAAUUUCACCAAGUUUUCGGGGCAGGACGACACCUCAACCGUGGAACACAUGAAUAGAUUCAUCAUCCAAUGUGGGGAAGCAGCGGCGCAGGAUGCUCUGCGGGUGCGCCUCUUCUCGUCAUCCCUUUCUGGGUCGGCCUUUCAGUAGUUCACUACAUUGCCACCCAACUCGAUAAUUACAUGGGCUGACCUGGAAAGGCAGUUUCACAAGUAUUUUUAUGCCGGGGUGCAUGAGAUGAAGCUGUCCGAUUUGACCAGCCUCUGGCAGAGAAGCGACGAGCCAAUAUCCUCAUAUGUGCAGAGAUUCAGGGAAAUCAGAAAUAAGUGCUACUCCUUGGCCCUGACUGAUGCACAGUUGGCUGAUAUAGCCUUCCAAGGUCUCCUACCUCACAUCAAAGAAAAAUACGCCUCACAGGAGUUUGAGAGCUUGAGCCAAAUCGUCCACCGAUUGUCUGGUCAAGAGGUACGCUCUUUCGAUCCACGGAGGAACUUCCAGAAGAAGGUGGCAUACUUAGAAGAGGUUGAGACCGAAGAAGAUGCAGAAAUCAGUCUUGCAGAAUGGGUUAAAGGGAAGAAACCGAUAUCAUGUCCGUUCGGCAAGAAGGAGCCGGAAACGUUCGGAUUUGACACAUCAAAGGCCGAUAAAAUCUUCGACCUCCUCCUCCAGGAAGGACAGAUGAAGCUCUCGCCAUACCAUACGAUUCCUUCUGCCGAACAGUUGAAGAAGAUGAAAUAUUGCAAGUGGCACAACGCUACCUCCCAUGACACUAAUGAGUGCAAAAUCUUCCGGCAGCAGAUACAGACGGCCAUUGAGCAGGGCAGACUCAAAUUUGAAGUGCCAACAAGACCAGCCAAGCCGAUGAAGAUCGAUCAGCACCCCUUCCCCACCAACAUGGUUGACACGGGAAAGAACUCACUCCAAACCAAGGUGCUGACAUCCGAAUCGGCUAAAAAGAGCGGCGCCGUAGACCCCAGAAAUCAAGUGGCGCCUGAAGACGUCAAGGGGAAACGGCGGAUGGAGGACGAUGACGACGGAUCAGGAGAACCACGCAUUACUUCCCAAUUCCUGCUCAACAAAUAUCAGCGGCAACAUGAACGCUCAAGAUCCCGGGAAGAAGCAAUGCGGCGACAUGAAGAUCACUGGCGAUGCCCGUUCUUCAUCCACUGUUGGGAAAGAAACCUCAGGUUGCCUUCGGCCGACAAUUGCCCGGAGUGCAACGGCCCGUAUCGUAACAAUCGGCCGUUCAGCAGGUCUCGCUCCAGAGAUGGGAGACCAGAGCCGAUCAGCAGGAACUGGCGCGACCAAGACGACCGGCGCCCUCCCGUACGUGAUUGGAUGGGGGGCAGAAGUGACCGAUAUGACCGGUCGGAAGGCAGGCGCCAUGAUGGGCCGGGGGGCAGAUAUGAUCGACAUGACUGGCCAGAAAACAGGGUCAGCGUCCACAGUCGACUUGAAGAGAUGGCCGAUGCUCGGGUAUCAGACGAGAACCCUUUAGGACGCGGACCGGAAUGGGAACGUGCUAGACCACGAACCAAACCGGUAAACCCCAGGUGGUGCCCCGAUGGAUUGACCAAGUCUCAAAAACGAAGAAUCCAACGUCUCCGCCAGUGGGAACAGCAGGAAGAAGAGCAACAGUACACGACGGACGAGAAGAAAGGCAGGUCUCAGGUAUGGCGCCCCAAAAGAAACGACAGAGGAGGCGACGAAUCGGCAGUCGAUAUCGGCAGGGUUUUCAUACUGCCGAUGGAGUUCAUGACUCCUGCCGACCGACAGAGCAUGUCGGCACUGGAAGAGCAGAUGGCCCAAUUGGCUUUGGAGCCAAUGACAGCCACAUUCGAGAAGCCCGAAGAAGACAAACGGCAACACCUGAAAGCGUUGUUUCUUAAAGGGCAUGUCAACGGCCGACCCAUCACCAGAUUAUUGGUAGACGGAGGGGCUGCAGUCAACAUCAUGCCGUACGCCGUGUUCCGGAAGCUAGGGAAGAGCGAUGAUGACUUGACCAAGACAGAUAUGAUGCUCAAGGACUUCGAGGGCAACGUAUCCCCCGCUCGCGGCGCUCUCUGCGUCGACCUCACCAUCGGCAGUAAGACCCUUUCUACUACUUUCUUUAUUAUUAAUGGCAAGGGGUCCUACAACAUGCUACUCGGCCGAGACUAGAUACAUGCAAAUUGCUGUAUCCCAUCUACAAUGCAUCAGUGCCUCGUACAAUGGGUCGGCGACAACAUCAGAGUGGUCACCGUCGAUUCCGCAUACAGCAUCGCGGCAGCCGACACGCAGCAGUGGAGCUGCGAAACCGUCAAGUGCAUAUCCGGGAGAGUAUGGGAUACUGACUUCUUGAAGGUGUCCGAUUUUGGCCUGCAGCCGAUCCGAGCAGUCGGCUCCGAAGACUUAGACUAAGAUGGAUCAGUUCGCCCGAGAAGAUGGGAAAUUGGGACACGGGUUCACGUCGGCCGAUUCAUUAGAAAUGAUAGAUUUAGGCGAUGGUACCAAACCAUGGCCGACAUAUAUUAGUGCAAAUCUAGAUCCGGAAUACAAAUGUAAACUAACAAGUUUGUUAAGAGAAUUUAAGGAUUGCUUUGCUUGGGAAUAUCAUGAGAUGCCCGGAUUAGACCGAUCUAUCGUUGAGCAUCGGUUACCCAUAAAGCCAGGGUAUCGGCCGUAUCAACAGCCUGCACUGCGGUGCAACCCUAAAAUCCUACCAGACAUAAAGGCCGAAAUAACGCGGCUAAUCGAAGCAAAAUUUGUUCGGCAAUACCGUUAUACCGAAUGGAUCUCCAACAUUGUACCAGUAUACAAGAAGAACGGAAAGCUACGCGUAUGCGUCGAUUUCGGGAACCUCAAUCAGGCCACACCAAUGGACGGAUACCCCAUGCUGACGGCCGAUGUGCUGAUAGAUGCCGCCGCAGGACACAAGGUUGUUAGUUUCAUGGAUGGAAACGCUGGGUACAAUCAGAUACUCAUGGCCGAAGAAGACAUAUCCAAAACGGCCUUCAUAUGCCCAGGUCACCUUGGUUUAUUCGAGUGGGUGGUAAUGACUUUCGGCUUGAAAAACGCUGGCGCCACGUAUCAGAGAUCCAUGAACUACAUAUUUCACAAACUUAUCGGCAUACUAGUAGAAAUCUACAUCAACGACGUCGUAGUCAAGUCAAAAGGACACCAGGAGCAUCUGGCCGAUUUACGACAAGUAUUGGAGUGCACUAAGAAACAUGGGCUGAAGAUGAACCCGAAUAAGUGUGCCUUCGGCGUAUCCGCCGGACAAUUCUUAGGAUUCAUGGUGCACGAGCGGGGAAUAGAAAUCAAUCAGAAAACUAUAGCGGCCAUCAACAAAGUCGUAGCCCCGCAGAAUAAAACUGAGUUGCAAUCUCUAAUCGGCAAGGUGAAUUUCAUCAGAAGAUUCAUAUCUAAUCUGUCUGGGCGAAUCCAAGCCUUCACACCAUUGUUAAAGUUGAAGCCCGACCAGGAGUUCAUAUGGGGGGAAGAGCAACGCAAAGCAUUGGAAGACAUCAAGCAGUACUUGGUCUCACCACCGGUAUUGGUCCCUCCUCAAACUGGUAAGCCGUUUAAACUAUAUUUAUCAGCCGAUGAAAGAGCUAUUGGGUCGGCUCUGGUCCAGGUGUUCAAAGGAAAGGAACGGGUAAUUUAUUAUGUCAGUAGAAGACUUCUGGACGCCGAAACAAGGUAUCCUCCAGUGGAGCGGUUGUGCCUAUGCCUUUACUUCUCAUGCACCAAACUCAGGCACUAUUUGCUGUCAGCAGAGUGUGUGGUCGUAUGCAAGGACGAUGUAGUAAAAUACAUGCUGUCACUGCCGAUUUUGAAAGGACGAAUCGGCAAAUGGAUCUUGGCUUUGUCAGAGUUUGACCUUCGAUAUGAAUCGGCAAAGGCCGUUGAGGGUCAGGUCAUGGCCGAUUUUGUUGCCCAACACUGCGGACCAGAGACUACCUUCGCGGAACCGGUACCUUGGACCUUAUACUUUGAUGGAUCGUCAUGUGGGGUCGGAUCAGGAAUCGGCAUCGUCCUCAUAUCGCCUCGGGAGGCAAGCUAUGAUUUUUCUCUGCUGAUAGAAGCAUCCGCCACUAACAAUCAAGCAGAGUACCGAGCUGUACUGAAGGGAUUACAAUUGCUAAGAGAAGUCAAGGACGAUUCUGUCGAAGUUUUUGGAGAUUCCAUGCUUAUCGUGGAUCAAUUAACAGGGAAGUCCGAAUGCAAGGACGAUGUGUUGAGGAUUUAUUACGAAGAUUGCCUGCUGCUUCUGAAAGAAUUCAAAUCGGCAGUUAUUGAGCACAUCCCAAGGAAUCACAAUGAGGAUGCCAACAAGCUCGCCCAACACGCAUCUGGGUAUCGGCCGAUUCAAGGCGCUAUGGCUCUAGAGUCGCGGCCGAUGACUGGCGAAAAGAGAUUGCCGAUUACCUGAAAGAUCCAUCUAAGAAAGUGGAUCGGCGGGUACGUUUCCAUGCUACCAAAUAUGUGCUACUGGAAGACGACUUGUUCUACCGAACAAUUGAUGGCGUCCUAAUAAAGUGUCUAGGAACGGAGGAGGCUAAGACUCUGAUGGGAGAAAUCCAUGAAGGAGUGUGUGGAGCCCACCAAUCGGCACAUAAGAUGAAAUGGAUGAUUAGGAAUAAUGGGUAUUACUGGCCGACGAUCCUCGAAGAUUGCUUCAAAUAUUAUAAAGGAUGCCAGGAUUGUCAGAAAUACGGGAAUGUCCAACGUGCGCCCGCAUCGGCCAUGAAUCCCAUUAUCAAACCAUGGCCGUUCAGAGGUUGGGGAAUAGACCUCAUCGGCCAAAUUUAUCCUCCGUCAAGCAAAGGGCACAAGUUCAUUCUGGUGGCCACUGAUUAUUUCACCAAAUGGGUGGAGGCAAUUCCGUUAAGGGCCGUAACAUCGGCUGCUAUGGUUGACUUCGUAAGAGACCAUAUCGUCUACCGUUUCGGCAUUCCCCAGACUAUCACAACCGAUCAAGGGACGAUGUUUACAUCAGGAGAAUUUGAGGAGUUCACGGCCGAUAUGGGGAUCAAAUUGUUAAACUCCUCUCCAUAUUAUGCCCAAGCUAACAGCCAGGCUGAAUCCUCCAACAAAGGGAUAAUAAAGUUAAUCAAGAGGAAGAUUGAGGAGCAGCCGAAAAGGUGGCAUCUAUGUCUGACUGAAGCCCUAUGGGCAUACAGGAUGGCUUGCCAUGGGGCCACCAAGUUGUCCCCUUAUCAGUUGGUGUACGGUCACGAUGCAGUACUACCAUGGGAAUUGAGGACGGGGUCGAGACACACUUCGCUCCAGGACCAGCUGACGGCCGACGACUACUCCUCACUCAUGAAAAGGGAACUUGAUGACCUGGCUGGCCAACGAUUGAGAGCUUUGAUAAGCAUCGAAGAAAACAAGAAGAAAGUGGCUAGGUGGUAUGAUAAGAAGGUCAAAGUCAAACAAUUUUCUCCAGGGGACCUGGUUUGGAAGUUAGUGUUGCCGAUUGGGUCGAAAGAUCCUAAAUUCGGUAAGUGGUCCCCUACAUGGGAAGGACCGUAUAAAAUUGGCAGAUGUGCUCCAGGAAACGCUUAUAUUCUGGAAACAAUCGAAGGAGAAGAGUUUACUAGGGCUCUGAACGGAAGAUACUUGAAAAGGUACUACCCUAGUAUAUGGGUCGGAGCAUAAGGAUCGACCACAAUGAACAACACACAGCCGAUACAAAAGGAUUCGUCUAGAGAAAACACGUAAUCGUCCAAAUCGGCCGAUAUAUUUCAUUCGGUACGGACGGUGGGUUACACGGCCGACAAGGUACAAGUCGCCCUUAGAACAAAAAAUAAUUAACCACGCUUUUUCUUACGCUCUCUCUCAGCCCGACCUAGUUCUAGCAGAAGACGGAUGUACUCUUCUUCUAUCUCUUUCAUCGAAGCCUCCGCUUCGACUUGACGGGGGAGAGGGUGACUCCGGUCCAUGGCCGGGCGUGAUGUUCCUGCUGCUGCAUCUUCGAGGACGAUUUGAUGGGGAAGCGGAUGACUUGGUUCGGCUUGAGGUCGCCGGUGGUCGUUGCUGUCCAGAAAGUCCCAGAUCCAUCGGAUGUCGGCAGGGACGUGCUCUUGGAGUUCAUCGCGAUGAGCUCUGAUUAAAUCCUUGUCUUCUUGCGACAACGGUUCGUCGGAGUGCACGAGUUCGAUGGCUCGUUCGAGUUCAGGGCUAAGGCGCCGUGGCUGCGGAAAGCAACAAUAUACAUAUGGCCACUGAAAAGGCGAUUCCCUUCAGAAGGAGUCAAACUAAGAAAGAGAAUGAAGGCAAAUCUUUUACCUGAUUAACAGAGGAAGAGGUAGAAGAUGAAGAAGACAUGACUGAAAGGCGCACCGACGAAAACAGGUUGGGAAGGUGAAGCUGAGCUAGACAGGUGCUCUCGGAACAGGGACCUAGGCCGGCGUUUAUAAGAAAGGAAGGUGUGGAUGUUUGGUAAGACGCGUCCCAUCGGAAGAGGAAAAGGUAAUAAAUAAAGGGGCGCCGCGAAGGACGGUCAAAGGGGGCAUUAAAUGUUCAUACAAGAACUGCCAGUACUUUUACAGGUUACCCAGGAGGGCAUCGAUAGCUGCGACCGCUCGGCUCCGGAUCUGAUCGGCAAAGUCCAGGACGCGUUGGUCGUCUUCUGCCGAUCCGGGGACUUCUGACAUAUUGCGGUGGAGUUUGAGGGCUUCGUGAGCUAGGUGCUGCCUCUCCCGUUUCAGAUCAGCGAUGACGGAAGGGAGUUCUUGAAGCCUCUUCUCUUCGGCGUCUAUUGCCUUGGUCACCUGCUCCAUCUCUUUGGCAAGCUCUGCCCUUCGGCGCUUGAGGCGAUCUAUCAUGCCGACGAUCCCCGGGCGAGAGUCUUCCAGAAAGUGAAUUCGUUGAUGCACUUCUUGGGCUUGGCGCUUGAACGUGUCCUCUUCCUCACGAGUCUUGGUCAACUUGGCGCGGUCGGCCAUAUGGCGCAGGGUCCUAAAGACCGGAAUCCUCAUUGACUCGAUAUAUGCGGCCGGCGCCAAGGCCUCUUUCGUUUCUUCCGGUACUCGCCCGCUGACGUCACCAAAAAGUUGCCGAAUCGGUGAGGCAUCUUCUACCAAUCGGCCGAUGUCCUCUUGAAGAAGGGAUCGGAUGCUUGCGAGUUUGGCACAGACGUCAUCAGGGACGGAGCUCAAAGUGACCUGGCGAGAGGCGACUUCCUCGUCAUCGGAGAGUGCGACCGCAAACGAGAAAAGGCUGUUGUUGGGGGAGUCCUGUUCCUAAAAAAUAGUAAGUCAAGAAGAAGAACAAAUCAGCCGAUGAUGAUGGCAAAUCGGCCAAGUAAGGGUGAGAAGUCUCUUACCUCCUUAAAACGGAUUUCUUCAAGCUGCGUUUGAGGGGCCGUUAUCCUCGAGUCAGGGGCUGGCACCAUUGGUUCAUUAGAAGAAGAAGACGCCACCAUGAUGGGUGCUUUGCUCGAGCCAGCUUCCCGAGAGAUGACCAUUGGUUGAUCAGGUGGGGUGCUUGGCGUACCGGUGACCUGUGUCAAAAGAUCGAAUAAGAAUAUUAUCCAAAUACUAGGAAAAUCGGUUGAAAGAGUAGUAUACCUCGGCAGAUGGAAGCGUGGGUGUGAUGAUGACCGAUUGAAUUGCUGCCGAUUGCUGUGGGUCCACAGAAGUGGUUUGUGCAGUCUAAAAAUAAGAUGAGUCAGUAUAGAGACGGCAAUCGGUAGGAUCAGACAACAAGUUUACCUGCAUAGCCUCCACCAGUAAUGAUGCAGCGGCCGCCCCAGCUUGCGUGACGACUUGAGUCGAAGCAAGAGGGGAGUUCAAAGAUUGGGUCAUCUCUUCGAUAAGGGAACCAGACGGUUGCAUCUUCAUUGAAGCCGUUAUAAAAACACCGGAAGUAUUCAGCCACCUUGGUAGCAGAGUACGAGCAACCAGAGAAGGCUGAUGCCACUUUGCCGAAAGACAUACACCGGCGUUGGACAAUGAGAUUCUCUGCCGAUUCGACGCUGGGGAAUGUCACUCGCUGCUGAGAGAUCUCGCUCAUGUACAAGUUCAGCCAUAGGUUAAUGAACCACCAGGGUCCACCUGGGUUUCCAAUCGGCUCCCCUUGGGAUAACUUGAUGCCGAUUUGGUGAAGCAUGCGGUAGGCUGCUCCCAGUAAGUGUUUUCCAAGAGGAACAGAAGUCCCUAUCGAUAACGCUUCGGCCAGAGCUUGAGUAUUGGUAGAUGGACUAGCUGCUCUCCCACAGAAGAAGUGUUUCUCUAGCCACAUCAUCAGGAAGGCCGUGUACUCUCUAUUCUCGACAGAUCCGGCCCUUUUGUUGCAUCUGAUGAAACCUUUCCACCCGCCGAUUCCCCUAGUGUCCAGCCGAUGUGAUGUUGCGGCUAUAAGGUGGAAAGGGGUGUUCGGGGAAGAAAUGUCCAGGCCGGUCAGCAAGACUACAUCGGCCAAUGUGGGGGUCAUAGGUCCGUGUCCAAACAAGAAUGCGUUGAGAGCAUCGGACCAGAAGUAAGAAGCUGCCAUCACUAACGGCUCAUUCCGUUCCAUUUGGGACAAGGACAAAUCGAUGCAUUGGCCAAUUUUGAGCUCGUCCCACUGGACCUUCUUGGAGGCGGCUAUCCGCUGGUACCAUUCCCUCCAUUCGGGAGUUUCAUUCGGCCAAGACCUAAAGGUGCCCAACCAGUGAUCUAGGUCCAUAGUUGAUUGUUUGAAGGGGAUCCUAUGGGUUUCCAAAUUGAUCAAGUCGGUUGGAUCUGGGUUUCCCAUGGGCCCAAGGCAGAUAAGGCCGAGGUUUUCUGUAAGACGAAUGGUGAUGCGAUGCCUAACCGCCUAAAAAGGAAAAGGGGGUGCGAGGGUAAGAAAUAGAUCUAAAAUAAAUGCAUUACUGAUAAGGGAAAGUUUCGGUAAUGACCUCUGGGAUGAAGCUUCUCGUAAUCGGUGGAGUCGCCGAUGCAGCUGCAGAUGAUGAAGCCGCCAAUGGGAUCUCGGAUGAGGCUUCAACUUUCGCCGAUGGAGCUCCUUCUUCCGUCGAUGGAGCCGCCACUGUCGCUACUGGAAUCUCCACCGAAGGCACCAUUUCUGGAGCUUCGCGCGUUGGUGAGGUGCCUGAAGGUGCCGCCAUUGGAAAAGUAGGAGGGAAUGCGAAAGGAAAGAUGCGCUGAAAAAUUGGAGGACUAAGGAAAGUGUUGGAGGAAGAAGAAAGCCUGUGCGCUGAGGAGGAAGGACGUAAGCUCGUAUGGAGUACGGGAUGUGCUGAUAUUUAAAGAAGGUCUGAGAAGGGGUAAAAGUAGAAUUUUUACCGCGCCGGCGUUUCGAGUUUUUCGGGAGUAGUGGUUGUCGUGGGCGCCCGUUUCGAAAAGAUUGCAAUCAUCAGGUUGAAGACCGCGAAACGGAAGGAUGUUUUCGUGGCGUCUGUUUCGGAUGGGAAGUUGAAAAGAAUUUCGAAGUAAAGACUAUGUUUUACUCCGAAACUGGGGGGCAUGUCUUGACGUCAGAUUUUGACACGAGUAAAAUCGGCGUUAGGAGAAGAGGAGAUAGGAAGAUGCGGCGAGAUACAAGGGCGAUGAUUGGAAAUCGGCCGAUUGGUGCUACAGUCAAGGAUCGGCCAAUUGAUGCUACAGUCGAGGAUCGGCCGAUUGAUCCUUGGAGUUCCGCCUCGCCCGACCCCUGAGGUUUGGGAUCGGACGCGUCCGACCCUCCAAGGGAGUAUCUCCGCCUCGCCCGACCCCUGAGGCUUGGGAUCGGACGCGCCCGACCCCCCAAGGGAGGAUCUCCGCCUCGCCCGACCCCUUGGGUUUGGGAUCGGACGCGCCCGACCCUCCGAGGGAGGAUCUCCGCCUCGCCCGACCCCUGAGGCUUGGGAUCGGACGCGUCCGACCCUUUAAAGGAGGAUCUCCGCCUCGUCCGACCUUAGUCCCCAGGGUCGGGAUGAGUCUGAGCCCUCGACGUGUGGGUCCUGAUCGGUUACCCCCAUGCCAAAGAGGUGAUCGGCCGAUUAGGAGGUUGGAAUAGUUGGGCCGAUGUGGGCUUAAAAAAGAUUAUGAAGAUGAAGAAGAGGUCAUGAAGCGCGUGAAAAUAGUACGAAUCGUACUUGUAAAUAUUCGUUUUCUGUUUAAAUUUAGGGAUAGAGUUCUAGUCGGAUAAGAAGUUUUUCUGUUUAAAUUUAGGGAUAGAGUUCUAGUCGAAUAAGAAGUCGUUUGUACGGGGCUAUAAAUAGCCACCCUAGUAGAUCUGUAAUCAUAAUCAACUCAAUACAACAAACUACUUUUUCCUCGCACUUACUUUCAAGCAGGCGACUUCGCCAAUACUUUUUCUCCUUUUUCACGAGUUCGUACGGGUUGGCGGGGCUGCAUCGACUUGACCUCCGGUUGAUCUUGUAAGUUCCGUUUAUCGAGUAAUUUCUAAGCUUUAACUUCGGGCGCAUCGCUGUCGUUUCGUUUAGAUUUAUCCACCAGUUAUCGAUACUUACUAGAAUUCUAGGUUUUACCUGUUGUUCUAGUUUUAUCACCAGUUAUCCAGCUAGGAAUCAGUAUUUUCGGCUUUUCUUGUAUUUUGCUGUUUAAUCUACCUAUUUCAUGCAUAGCCGAUCAGAUCUGUUCCUAGUGUUGCUACCGUAGCGUUGUUUAGAUUACUCUAGUAGUUUUCUUUAUAAACGUUGCCUGGUAAUCGGUUGCAUCAUAGCCGAUUUCCUUAUUACUGCAAAUCGGCCGAUUCGCUGAUAAGCUGUCUCAAGAUCGGAACCUUAGCCGAUCGCAACCUCUGGGAACUGACACAUUUAUUUCCUUGCCAAUCAGCAGGUCAGAUUGGCUGGCACGCCGCGCGAACCGCACCAGGGCGAUCACCCGAACAGGAGCUAAGCAGAUUCUCCCAGGUCGUGUGUCCGACGCUGGGAAUUCGAUCAGUAAUUUCUAGCGCCAACACAACUUUAUCAUGAUAAUUGUGCAGUCACUGUUGGCUUGCAACUCUAUCAUGAAGGAAAGUUGUAUAGUCUUGUAUUCAAAAGUUUGCAUCUCUAACUCCUGCAUAUGCUGAAUCGUAGACGUCGAAACUCCUGAAGUGGGAUUCGUGGAAUUCAGCUGGAGAUGGAUAGCGUCCGCAAAUUGUUGAAGUGCCUCUUUUACUAAAGGGGUUUUCUGAAGAACUAACCUUUGUUGAUCCCAGGCAAGCCCCGGUGCAUUAUACCUAUUAUUCUGGAAUCAAUAUUUCAUGUGUCCAAUUAUUGGUUAAUUGCUAUAUGUAUGCACUAAGUCUAGGAAUUGUUUGAAACCCAUUCUUGUGUAUUAUCACACCUUGUUUUAAGGACAUCUUUGCCACUUGUUCAAACCUUUAGUAGAUAACCCAAGUCUAGAAUGGCUUAGUUCCUUAAAUACUUGUUUUCCCAAACCUUAAAGUAAAUUUUGAGUCAGACAUGUUAAUUAUGGAAAGAUGACUUGGGAAUUAAGAAGCGGACAGAAGCUAAGGAUGUAGUUCUGUCUGCUAGAUUAAUCUGGUUAAGGCCCGAUUCGUUGUCUUAACCUUUGAUCAAGUGAAAGACAUCUGAUCACUUACUGGGUAUGGGACCAGUAAAGCCCAGUAGGUUAGUAAACCCUCUGAUCGGGAAUACUUCGUACCCGCGCUUGACGUGCUGGAGAUUGGCAGGGGCAUAGCCUGAAACUCACAUGGUGAUCGGGCUAGACGUGGGGUCCCGUGUGGGGGUGCGUCCCUGGGUCCGGGUAGUCUUAUUCCCAAUUGUUGGUUUUGCUAAUCGAAAAGUCGUUACGUACGACCUGGACAGUCGUAUAUAGCUGGUGAUCAGGGUACUCUCCUGCAGGAUGUAAAUUGAUCCGGAUCGCCGCAAUUCUCGGUUAUGAAUGCACUUGAUCACUGUUGAGCAUCGUAGUGUAAUAUCAUGAAGGCAAUGUCUUUUCAAAUUAAUUUGUUGUGUGACUUAAUUUCCUACUGUUUGCAAAGGUAUUUCUUUUUCAUCAUCUAGACUGGUUAAGUAAUAACUCAAUUGAAAUAAAAGACAAAGUUAAGGUUUCACUUUUAGUAAGCUCUUUUGGCAAAAAGUGAGUCAGCCAGUACACUAAACAACUUUCAUACAGUUCCAGAAAAGCUAUUAUAUUGGUUAGACGGGUCAGACUUGUUGAGUACUUCGUACUCAGGGGAUCUUUUGUUGUUGUUUUCAGAAACCCAGCAGGGACCCACCGAAGAGGAAGCUCCGAAGAUCUAGGGUAUCUUAUGAGUCUCAUGAUACUCUAGAAUAAACUUAGACGUUUAAUUACUUAACCCUUACUGGUUUAUAUUUAACUCUUAGCAAGGGAUUAACUUGCACUAUUAAGUUUUCUUCAAUCUAUGGUUGUAAUAUAUUGUACCUUUAAUAUGUUUAUAAAAAUGUAAUAUUUGUUGAUGCUAUCCCAUCGCGGAUACAAUCCUGAUGUAUGGCUAUGAGACACGACGUGGAUCUUUCGAGGAGUCCUAGGGACACUCGACGGACGACCGGACUUAUACUGUUUUAAGUGCAUUUCGGAUAAUUGCUGCAUCGGUAGCGAUUAGGCGCAUUUAAACCAGUUUAAGUUGGACGGUUCCGCCACAGUCCCGGUCCCCGUUCGGGGGGGUCCAGCUUGGGCCAAGCUGGUGGCGUACCCCAGGCUUUGAUAGGCCAGUUCAUAUAGUUCCCGAAUCCGUUCGGUUGGAUCCGGGGGCUCGUUGGCUUUCUUCGGGGAAAAACCAUGAACUUUGAUGCCGGUUCAGACUCGAACGUGAGAUUGAGAUGCCCUGGGCUAUUGCGCGCCUGGGUGAUGGUCGCUUGCGGACCCGUCUCCUCUCACCCCUCGCUCGGGGGCAUCCUGUAGCGGUUGUCGAACCCGUGGCGGGCCAACCUUCGAACUCCUGGAUCGUAAUGGGCCGUAGGGGCGUUUUCAGCCCCGUAUCCCUUUCUUACCUUUUGGUAGGCCUUGGGCCGGACAUGGAGGGAGGCCGCGUCUUGGGCCGGACGUGGAGGGUGCAGCGCCUUGGGCCGGACGUGGGGGACGUUGUGCACGUAUCCCUAGGAAGUGAAGCGGUGGAGGGCGCCGACCCGCGAAUCGAGGGAGGAGGGGAUGUUUCUGCUGCCGGUCGUGCGCAUGGUUUCCGAAAAAGAAGCGAGCCUGGCGGAGGGUACCUGGCGUCGCAUUUAUGGUGACGGGGGCGUCUGUUCUGCUUCCCCCGCGCUUUCCCUAUAAAACGAAAGUUUCGCCUCGCCGGUUCCGCCCGCCGUCUGCCUUCAAACUUUUUCGCCUCCUCGCGCACCCUUAGCUUUCCUGCACCUGCUUCGUCCUCCUCCGCCCAGCGCCGCACCCUUUCUCCCCAUCCCCUAUCGAGCUCCUCUCCUUCCAGCGAUGGGAUCCUGGGCGAUUUCCCACUUCAGCCCCUCGCGCGCCGAAGGCCUAGUGAGGAAGGGCCUCCUCUGCGAGAGGACGGAGGCGGGUGAGUGGGAGCUUCCGGGGGCGGAGCAGGCGCCGGCGCCGCUCGCCGGCUAUAUCGUCUCCUUCGCCCACUUCCACGAGAGGGGGUUCGCGACUCCGCCGAGCCCCUUCUUCCGCGGGCUCCUACAUUAUUAUGGGCUUAAGCUGCAGCACCUCAACCCCAACGGGAUCCAGCACAUCGCGGUGUUCGUCGUGCUGUGUGAGGGGUUCCUGGGCAUCGAGCCCAACUUCUCGCUAUGGAAGUACUUCUUCACGGUCAGCCUGUACCAGAAGGCGGAGAAGAAGGGGAGCCAACAACGGUCGCCUCCGGUACCGAUAGGGUGCGCCGGGAUCCACCUCCGCCAUACUCGCGCCAAGGAGUACAUGGCGAUGAAGACCGCGGCGUCCCACAAGGGGUGGCACCAGCAGUGGUUCUAUGUGAAGAACUACUCGAACUCCCCCUGCCGGAGUUCACCCGCUGCACUAUCGAGGCGGCGCCGGAGUUGUGGGCGUACGACCCGGUCGAUAAGGAGAAGAAGCGGAUCCAUGGCCUGCUGCAUGCCAUCGAGCACUUGAAGGGGAGGGGGUUGACCGGAGCCGGAGUCAUCGGGGCGUACCACGCCCGGCGGGUGGCGCCGCUGAUGCUCCGGGUCCGCUCGCUCGCCGACAUGACUCCGGGCGUGCCGACCGAGGGUACCGUCCUUGCGACGGGUGCGCUCGCCACCUCCGAGAUCCGGCAGCGGAUUCGGGAGGCGCUGGAGGACAAGGACGCCGACUACCCGGUGCCCGGUCACCCUCCGAUGUGCCCGGACGAGAACUUCAUUGACCUGGUAAGGAUUUUGUGCGCCAACCUUAUUUUUUCAUGUUUCUUGGUUCGCCGCUCUGACGCGGGGCCUUUUCGCGUUUGCAGGGCAGCAUGACCCGGGUCGUGGACUCGCGCCUGCCGGUGCCGGAGGACGCCGAGCGGCGGCUGCAGAACCGUCUCCUUGCUGAGAAGCAAAAGCGCCGCAAGGACAAGGAGACGGCGAAGAAGAAGAAGAGGGCCGCCAAGGAGUUCCAGCGGCGGCGACGAGGACAGGUCGUGUCGGACGACGACGGCGACGGCGACGACGACGACGAUGAGGAGGAGGAGGAGGAGGAUGACGAGGAGGAGGAGGAGGAGGAUGACGACGAGGAGGAGGAGGACGAGUUUGUCCUCUCCCCCCGGUCAGGCGCGCUCGUUGUUCGGGAGAUGCGCUCCCAAACGGCCGCGAGGGAUGAAGCGGGCGGAUCGUCCGCCCGGGACUUGGUCCCGCAAAGCUCUGGGGCCGUCCCCCAGGAGCCGGCGCGGAGCGCCCCCCAGUGGUCGGCGCGGAGUACCCCCCGGGGGUCUACGGAGCCCGCCCCCGUCCCCACGCCUGCGGCCCAGGAGCAGAGGAGCGGAGACAAGCGGCCGCUGCCGGACGCCCCGGGGACGGGGUCGGCGUCCGGCUCGGAGGCGAAGCGCGCACGCCGUCCUUGCGCUGGGGGAUCGUGAGUUAAAUUUCCUCACGAACCUCGUUCCUUUCCAUGCAUUAUGUUCGUUUCCGCUGACGUUUGUUGAUUGUUUUUGCAGCGCCGCCCCUCGAGGUCUCAUCCCGCAGCUGGCGCCCAAGAAGGCGCUGCGGGUGUUGUCCGCCCUUGCGGGGCGCACCGCGGUCCCACCCGCGGCGAGCGGCGGGGUCCCUGGUGAGGUCGCGGGUCCCACCGCGGAGGUGGCGACCGGUGGAGUGGUGCCGCCGCCGGGCACAGGAGAGGACGCAGACCCCGCUUCGCCUUCCGCUUCUUCGGCUGACCCCGCGGUGCAGAGUAUCGCUCCCGAGGGCCCUCAGGACGGGGAGGUGAUCGACCUCAACGCCGACGAGGCGGAGGGAACGGCGGCGGUGGAGACGGGGACGGAUGUCCCAGCGGCCGCGACCGGGACGGCGGCGGCAACGGCGGAAGGGGAGCCUGCCCCCGGCGGCCACGGCGGGGACAGCGGCAGCGGGGGAGACUAGGACGCCUGCCGCGGCAGCUGCGACAGAGGAGGUAGUGGCGAUGGAGACGGGGACUUCCGCCCGGGGAGCUCCGGCAGAGGUGGCACCGGCGGCGGAGGCGGAGGUGCCUGCUCCAGAGGCCCCGACGGGGGCGGCGACGCCUGCCUCGGCGGUCGCGACGGAGGGCGAAGCGGCCACGGGGACGCUCGCUCCGGCGCCCGCGUCGGAGGCGGUGGCGCCGACUGGCGGGCCCGUCGUGGCUUCGACGGGGGCAGCGGCGCGUGCCCCGGGACUGUCGGUGAGCCCGGCGGCUUCCGGGAUGGUGGAGCCCGUUUUGACGGCGGCGUCGAGGUCGGCUUCUGCCUCUGCCUCGGCCACUCCCGUUCCCAGUGCGUGGAGAGGGUCCGUCCUGCGUUGGUCGUCCCGUGACGACCCGCAGAGGCCCCUCUUCACGUUGGAUGAUGCCAUGGAAUGGGGCAAGUGGCAGGCGAUGCAGGGCGGCCUUGCUAACGUCCGCGCGGCUCUGUCCUUGGCGUUGGGGCAGAUGGACGACGUCGUCCUCCCUGGUAGCCAGGUAUGGUACCUUCUUCGUUGGUGGUUGUAUCCUCCCUGUUGUUUUACCCCUGAUGUCGUAUUGUUUUGCAGGCUCUCCAAGAAUGCAGUCGGAGGAAAUCCAAUUUCCUUCGGCUGGAGCGGGGGCUCUGGGAGCGCUUCAACUUGGAGAGGCAGCAGACCGGGGAGCUGUCCAUGCAAGUUGCCGCCGCCCAGCAGGUCAUCAACGAUCUGCAGAGGCGCGAGCAAGCGGCUCAGGAGGAUGCGCGGCGGGCGGAGGCCAAGCUCCAGGUCGUCGCCAAGAGGCCCCGCUCCGACCGCGAGGAGUUCCAGGCCGCUGCCGAAAAGGCCCGCCACGACACCGAGGAGCUAGCACGGCUGAAGGGGGAGCAUGAAGCCCUUCAGAAGACCGUCGAGCGCAUCCGGCGCAAGCGGCAAAAGGCUUGGCAGGACCGGGACGCCGAGAAGGUCCGGAAGGAGGAGGCCGUGAAGGCGGCGGCCGACCUUGGGGCGGAGGUCGGUCAGCUUCAAGCGCAAGCGUGGGAGCUUCAGGCCUCCGUGGCCCAGGGGCUCGACCGGGAGCGCCAGCUGAAGGCCCAGUCCGAGGGUAAGACUCUGUUCAUUUCUUUGUCUUUGUGAUGUUGCGGUGAUUUUCGAUUUAGCGGGUUCUUCUGGGUGAUCCUUGCAGGCGAGCUCACCCGGCUAAGGAAGGCGCUCGACACGGAACGCGCUGAGCACGGCAGCCUGCGGGAUGCGGUCCGCGUCGUCUGUGACGGCCUCAGCGUGGUCCAGGAGGAGGGGACGAGCUCGCUGGCGACUCGUGUCCUCGGGACCUACCGCCGAGCCCGCGAGAUCGCCCUGGAGGCGCUCCACACCGGCGUGAGGCGAGCCUUCGGGGUCUUCGGCUCCCACUACUCCGGCAUCAACUUCGCCGGGAUGAGCGGGGGGUACGCCGCCGGCUACUCCGAGGCUAAGCUAGACGAGAUCGACGCGUCGGUGCUCAACCCGGCGGAGGCCUUGGCGAAGCUCCUGGAGGAUGAAGCCGUCCCUCCCGAAGAUCCCCGGACGAGUUAACUGUAUCGGGUUGGCGCCCAAGAUGUUUGGAUACGAGGUGCUAAACUUUAACAGUGUCACAUCGGAUGUUCGGAUGCUAAUUAGAAGAACUAAACAUGAGCUAAUUAUAAAACUAAUUACAGAACCCUGUGCUAAUUCGCGUGACGAAUCUAUUAAGCCUAAUUAAUCCAUCAUUAGCAAAUGGUUACUGUAGCACCACAUUGUCAAAUCAUGAACUAAUUAGGCUUAAUAGAUUCGCCUUACGAAUUACACUCCAUCUGUGCAAUUAGUUUUGUAAUUAGUCUAUGUUUAAUACUCCUAAUUAGCAUCCAAACAUUCGAUGUGACGGGUGUUAAACUUUAAAUACGUCAGUUUCAGACUUAUUUUGUGAUGGCCACAGGGGCUUUUUCUAUGGAUUGUCGUAAAAAAGUUUUCGAUUCCCUUUCUUGUUUUUUGGACUUGGAAAGUUUAGAGUGCGUUGUCGGGCAUGUCAGUAAGCUUUGAUGAGCGAGGGCAUCGUAGCCGCUGGGGCGUAGGUUUUUUCGCAGUCCGAUCAAUCUUGCCUGAACACCGUUCGUGCACUCUCUCCUUUUUAUGCCCAAAAGUUCAGAAAGGGGGUCGGCUCGGAAAGAGAGCGUUUUGAGAGGGUGUCAAGUGGCUUUAGGCCGGAGCCCCUGAUAGCCCUGGGAUGUGCGGCCCUGAAGCAGAGCCAGGGUCGGAUAUCCCUGAGUUCGAGGUGAAACUUGAAUGAACCAUCUCAAAAUUCUUUUUUUCGUAAAAAUUUUUAAAUGUACACAAGUGUGUAUGCACAGAACUUGGAAACGAAAGCUAGGGGUAGAAGCGUCUUAGCUGUUCUAUGUUCCAGGUGGAGCCGCCCCUCUGGGGGAGGCCCGCCGGCGCGCGCCCGUAGCGAUGAGCCGGAACUAUAUGUACACUACCGGGGAAUCCACUUUCACAACCGGUACUGCUAUUUUGGUAAUAAAGGGGACCCUUUAGUACCAGUUCAAAUAACCGGUACUAAAGGAUAUUGAAAAAUUAAAAAAAAACAAAAUCCCCCGCCCGCCGUCGCCAACCGCCCGAUGGCCGCCGCCGCCGCUCCUCAUCUUAGGCAUGAGGUGAGAGGUGAGCGGAGGGGGGAGGAGAGGGGAGACUGGGGAGGGAGGGAGGAGCUCCAUGGUUAGAGGGAGAGGGAGCGGAUGAGGGAGGCGGAGGGAACCUGAGAGGAUAAGGGAGAAAGUGCAUAAAGGCGGCACGCGGAUGGAGGGAACUUGUAGUACCGGGUGGAGCCUCCACCCGGUAUUAAAGGGGUCACGGGGAUUCCUUAAGGACUAUUCAAUAGAUUCGGUGCUAGUACCGGGUUAAAAUGCAACCGGUACUAACAUCGUGGAUGAAAAUUACAUUCUCUAGUAGUGGUAGCCCCUUCUAAGCAUGCUUUGAAUUAUGCUAUCAAAUUUGUUAUGCAAAAGUCAAGUGGGCGUAAGUGAUAUGCUUAUAAAAUUUGGAGAGCAAGGAGCUAGGGGGGCGUAUGCGUAUGCCACUGGAUUGCUUAAUUUGCACGGUAUACCUAGGCACCAGCUACCUGCAGGUGUACCGGCCCGUAUGAAAUACUAGAAGUAGAAGAAGCAGCGUGCGUAAAGGAAACUACAACCUGGUAUUUAUUUAUAUAAUUGCAUGGUUGUCUACUAGCUAGGCUACUAGAGGAGCUGCUUGGUGUAGUCAUAGGCUCAUAGGUAGUACUAGCAGCAGCCUAGGUAGCUAGGCACUGUUUGGUGUUGGCGCUCCAUCCAUGCAUCAUCAUCAUCAUCCAUGUAGCCUUCCUUAGCUGAAAGCGCCAACACGCUUCACUCGAUCAUUUCCCUUCCUGUCUGCAGUUUCAUUCCUUGUCCCUCUCUCCAAUCUCCAUGGAAACGUCGGCCCGGGAAGGAAGGGAUCAACCCAACCAACAUAAGGCCCGAUACGGCCCAGGGAAGGGAUCAUCCAUCGAAAGGGCCGAUUCGGGCCGGGAUAGCCCAGCCCAGCUCGACUCAGCUGUGGGGACUGGGCCACCGACCAUCCGUGCAGCUGAACCUGAUCGUGACCCUACUACCUCCCAGUCCCACCCAGCUACCCCGGGGAAGCUACUGUGGACAGCUGCAUUAAUGAAGGUCGCCCAUCAGAAAUUAAAGAUCCCGGUACGGGCUUCUGCCGCCCCUGCCAGAGGAACAACGAAACCUUCCAGUGAUGGAUGAUGUGCCCUGGUAGUGCUAAAGGCGGAUAAAAUCAGGUGGCGUGCCCACACCCGCGAUCCUCCUCUCCGACUCGGACAAGCAAGGCACGCUGAGCCGGCGACGCGUCGAAAGGUGAAGGCAGUCGGCACCCCUACCCUACACAAACUACGCUGGGGGAUGAGGGAGACGGGAACCCGGGGCGACGCUUUUGGCAGAAGCAACGCCCGCCCAAAGCAAAAGCACCAACCUUUGCCGCUACUCCUACUCGAGUUCCCAAGCCAGGAACAAGCAAGCAAACCGCCCUUCCUUGCACAUCCCCGUCGAUCGCUGGCUGCAACCUAGAUAUAUGUAUAUAGCCUCCCGCCGGCCGCGGAUGGGCAGCGGCGGCGGCGUGGUUCCGACGUCCUGGCGCGCGCUGGCCGCGGCGGCUCUCGCGCUGUGGCUGUUGCCCGUGCUCCUGGCGCUGGCGCUCCUCUGGCUGCCGCUGCUCUGCUGCGCCGUCGCCGCCGUCCGCUUCCGCAGGGUCAGGAAGCAGCUGAGGACGACCUCGCGUGGCUGCGGCGGGCGAGGGGGAGUCGUACCGUGGCGGGAGGAGAUCAUCGCGGCCGACGACGACGCCGGCGACCGGACGCGGCUGCUGCACCGGUACCCUCCGCGACCAGAUGGAGCUCGUCGUCGCCGGGGCCGACGCGGAGGAGCUCGUCGACGAGCUGCUUGUUGAUCAGUAACUAGUGCCAGAUAUUAGAGAAACUUUUGCUCUUUUUUUUUUUCCAUUUCGGUUUGCGAUUUGUAGCUUGUAGGAUGUCACGUAGCUUCAUAGGAGCUGCCAGAUGCUGACCAGAGAAUUUGCUGGUGCCUGGUGGAGCGUCAGGAGCAGCUUCUAACUUCUUCAUUCUCAGACCUUGUUUCUUCUUUCCGCCCAACUGCCCAAGAUUACAGGUCGGGGAACAAAGAUGAGUUGUUGACUUGCAGGCAUGGAUCUUGGAUCGGAACAGUAUUGCUCUGGCUUCCUGUAUCUUACGUUAUCCAUGUUGGUCGUUGGAUCCGAAACCACAUGGAGUCUGCGAGAGCCUGCAUGCAGAGACCAUGGCGCAGGGUGAACAUCUUCAAUCUACCGCAGGUUGGCUGCGAUUGCGAAUGUGAUGGGCACACCGCACACGCCGACUGUUCAGUGGAGCGUUUGAUCGGUUCAGACUUGAGAUUUGUACAAGGCCACGCAUUCUAUAAGUUCAAGUCUGACAGAAAAAAAAACUCAGGGGUGUUUGGCAGUGUCACAUCAGAUGUUCGGAUGCUAAUCAGGAGGACUAAACAUGAACUAAUUAUAAAACUAAUUGCAGAACCCUGUGCUAAUUCGCGAGAUGAAUCUAUUAAAGCUAAUUAAUCCAUCAUUAGUAAAUGGUUACUGCAGCACCAUCUUGUCAAAUCAUGGACUAAUUAGGCUUAAUAGAUUCGUCUCGCGAAUUAGACUCCUUAGGUGCAAUUAAUUUUGUAAUUAGACUAUGUUUAAUACUCCUAAUUAGUAUCAAAACAUCUGAUGUGAUAGGUGCUGAAGUUUAGCGGGGUGUAUCCAAACGGGCCCUCGGCGGUAGUACUCCACGGUGAAUCAAAGUAGCAAGCACAACCAUACAGGCCUGAAAAUCACGCAACAUACAUCAUCAAAUCGUACGUGGGCCAGCAAGGCCGGCCGUGCAAUAUUGCAGCAGCUAGCAAGCCAGCAACCCUCUCUGGUCGGUGGUGGUCGACUGGUCGUCGUCAGCCGGACCACCGACCACCCGCUUGCCGCGGUAUCGGACCAGAAGAAUGCGCCGCCACUACACACGCACGAUCGCCGCGCCGAAACCCUACCCUACGUAGCCAGCACCCUCAAUGGUUGUAGAUAUACGGAGUAUACCAACCUCGGUUUUCAAAUAUAUACUUAGACAAUUUUGAUCACUUUAUUUGUUUCCAAAUACAUAGCACUUCACGUUUUCCGAAACGUAGCUCACUCAAUGCUACAAGAAUGUUAUAGAAUCAAUGCUACAAGAAUGUUAUAGAGACGUUGGGAGAUAACUUUAUAAAGGGAUUUUGAUUAUUUCUUACAUACAAAGUGACUACUUUGUAAUCGUGCGUUGGUUAAAGUUGUCAAGUAUUCGGAAACGAAGGUCAGCAGUACUAGUAAACUAUCUGCGGCAAGCCACCUCAGCUAAUCGACACAGUAAAAGCAUGCCUUCUCGGGGCUGUUUGGAUACUUAGGUGCUAAACUUUAGCAGUGUCACACCGGAUAUUCGGAUGCUAAUUAGAAGAACUAAACAUGAGCUAAUUAUAAAACUAAUUUCUCGAGAGUCGCUGGCCGUAGCGACGAUUUUUAAUUUCUCUCUCUCUCCUCCCAUGCUGCAGCUCGUAAACAAGAGGUUCGGAUCAACUUCUGUACUCUCACCUGGUUUUCAACUGUACUACACUUAACUUUUCAGCUUUGCACGGUUCCUCUUUGCUGUAACUAUACGUGGCCAAAUGGGCCGCCCAGCCCGGCCUGGCCCAGCAUGUAUCAGCCCGGCUACAGUGUCGUGUCGGGCUAGGCUGUUUGUCGUGCCAGCUUAGAGGCCCAGACCCGACUCUUUAAACCUUAUACGGGCUGAGCCGGCACGAUAGCCCAACAACCUAGGUGGACCGGGUCGCCCAUCGGCCCGUGAAAGAAAAACCAUCCAAUAGAUUCCCAAAAUAACAAUGCAUGCCAUUAUGCCAAGAUCACAAUGAAAUAGCCAAUAGGGAAUGCACAGGCAACAUCAAAUUUUAUUUGAGCUGUUCGGUGUAUCAGUCUCCAUCUCCGAGACUCCGAUGACCUCCCUCCUCAUCGCCUCCUAGGCGCCUCGGCGGCUUAGGCUCCUCAAUGGCGCGCGCCGCACCCGCGCGAGCACGAUGGCAUCGUGCUCGGCCAACGACCUACAAGACAAGAUGCGGAGGGGAUUAGGUCAAGAUGUGAGAAUGGGAUUAGGUGAGAAGGGGAAGAAGAAGAACGUACUUGCGCUGCCGGAGCAUCCGAGCACGUUGAGAUCUAGAUCGAGGAGGGGAAGGAGGCACCGAGGCAAGAGGCGGAGGUGGACCAGCAAGAUCUAGAUCGAGAAGGGGAAGGAGGCGGACAGGCGAGGGGAGGGGUGGGAGCCGAUGACCGGGAGUGGUGCCGGUGACCGGUGAUGAGGGAGAGGGAGGGAGCCAGGGAGGGGAAGGAUCGAAGGAGGUAGACAGGCGCGGAAGCGGAGUGGAGCCGCCGAGGCGAGUGGCGAUUGCGGCGGACUGGCGGAGAGGGAGGGGGAGGGGAUUAGGGAUUGUGCCGAUGCGGAUGCUGGGGAGGGGGGGCUUAUACUAGGGAACAUGGGCCGUGGUCGUGCCGCAUGUCCACGGGCCGCUCAACGUGCCGCAGCUGAGGCCCAGGUCCGACCUGCUACGUCGGGCCGUGCCGGCACACCGGCACUUGUAACGGCGGGCAAGGCCGUGCUGGUGUUGGGCCAAAACAAGCUGGGUCUCGUACCACCUGUCGUUGUCAAGAUUAGCGGGUCAAGACUUAGACUAGUAAAUUUCUUUUAUGCGCGUAAGGCUUCGGAUGGUGGCAUGAGAGACACGGGGUUUAGACUGGUUCGGGCAAAGGAACGCCCUACGUCCAGUAUCGGGAGCUGCUCGUGUUGCCACGCGGGGUUCUGUAGUAGGGGUUAAAGGAGUGCGAGAGAGGGAGCUGAUCCCAGGCCUCUUGGGUGUGCACUGAUGCUCUAAGUGGGUGCGAGUGUAUUCUGUUGGCUUGGAAGGCCCCCCCUGUCUCAGGCCUCCGGUUCUCCUUUUAUAGCGCAAGGAGGCCACCGAGGUUACAGGUGAGACCGGCUAUCAGGAGAAGUAAAAGAGAUAAACAAAGCUAGGUAGAAUACAACACAAGGAGAGGGACCAAGUCCCCAGGCCACCGGCGCCCUCGCCGGCCUUCGGCUCCUGCCGGCGCGUCUGCCGGAGGAGGGCGGUCGCCGUCGCGUCCCGUCGAUGGUCUCCUCGACGGCUGUCGCCGCCAGGCGUGAUGAUGGUGUUUCGUCGUGGCACCUGUGUCCGUUGGGGGAGGCGGCGGAUCCCGCCAUCUGCUGACGGCUCACGGAAGGCGGACGUCGCGUCCCUGUCGCCGGAUGCGUGGGGCGCGAGGACGGGCGCGACUUCCUCCUGCUCCGGGCGACGCAAGCCAUGAGUGCCCUGCUGCGAAUCAGGGGGAUCUGCGGCCACUGUAGCCUGUGCGGUCGUGGCUAUAGUGUUCCGCUCGGGUACUUGUGGCGGGUCACGUCGAGGGGCGCGGGCGCCUUUCUGCGUGCUAGAGCCGCGGUGCAUUUAUGGCGAGACCGCUGGGGGACCUCACAAGAUCCGCGCCCUCGUCCGUAGGUCUGCGCCUGAGGUGGACACUUGUCUCAUGGGUCCGGAUGAGUCCGACCCCCUACGCCCGGGGUCAGGCGAAGCAGAGCCUUGCGGCGAGGGGUCGGGCGCUCCCGACCCUGGGACCGCGGUCGGGCGAGGCGGAGUCCCACCAUCGAGGGGUCGGGAUUGUCCGACCCCGGGACCCUGGGUCGGGCGAGACGGAGUGGGAUGUUCUCUGCCUCUACUGGGUCGGCGGUAAUCGUAAUUACCGCAGGUGGGCCUGGGACUUCAUGACUGUUGCUUUAAGCGGCAUUAGGAGGUCGUUAAUAUUUCCCCUCAACACCGCCCGUUUAGCCCGGCCCAUUUGGCCAACUAUAGCUGUAACCAAGUUAAAGUACCAUCGCUCUUUACCCUUUUCUUUUCAGCAUUGUUCCUACUGUUUGAAUCCUUUGCAAUGGCAGGGUCUACGUGAAGCUUGUGAAAAGGAGUUAAAAUCAUAAUUUGUUCUGUGCCAAAAGUUCCUCAUGAAAGACUUGUAUGCCAAAGUUCAUACUUGUAUUCCAUUUUAUAUAUUAUAUUAUCUAUCUGUACGUGUGAUUGGAGAUGGUCUUAUGUAUUUUUUAUGGAUAUUGUAUGAUUUUUUAUUUCAAAACGUAUUUAUUAUAUCUCCCCAGGAAAACUCUCCGUGCGUGCAUGGAAAUACGGAACAUAUGUACAAUCCGUGUGUGCAGAAAAAUUCCUGUGCAAGGUUUUGUUCCCUGAAUUAAUUGUGCUUUGUGGCAUCACGGGAAGGGUAGGAGAAGGGGAAUUUGUGCUUUGUGGCCGUGUCAGGUAGAGUGGCGCGGGCGAGGCGGCAUUAGUGGGAUACUGGGAUCUCUGCAUUGUUUGGAAGUACAGUACCAUGCAUGAGGUGCUUCUAUUCCGUGGUUUACAAAAGUUUAAACCCUCUGAUUUUCUUAAAGAAUCCAUUUCAAACCUCCUUUUGACUUUGUGGGAGAUAUAUACAAUUCUCCCAUAUAUUUAUGUUUACUUUGUUAACUAUUCACUUCGAAAAGCUUAAAGACAAAGUGCCUCAAGACUUCAGUUGUUAAUUAUAUUCACACCAUCAAACGUUUAUAGACGGUCUUUUCAAACCCCUAUUGGCAUAUGCAAAACGACAUUAACUACAUGUUUGAUCCCACAUUAAUCGCCUUAUUUUUUUGUUAAUUGAUCAUUUGACCCCCACUCCCACAUGUAUCGAUACAUGACUGGACUGACAAAUAAUCAACUUGUUUUUUUUCCAGCUGAGUACGGUCCUACGCGCUACACUGACGGACCAGUGCUGCCAAUCUCUGCUGGCCCUUAUGACACUAUGGAGGUCUUCUUUGUCAAGGUGAAUGAGGGGGUGUUUGAAUCCUUAAGCUAAAGUUUAGUCCGUGUCACAUCGAAUCUUUGGAGGGUAAUUAGGAGGACUAAAUAUAAUCUAAUUAUAAAACUAAUUACACAGAUGGAGGCUAAUUCGCGAGAUGAAUCUAUUAAGCCUAAUUAAUCCAUCAUUAGCAAAUGGUUACGGCAGCACAUUGUCAAAUCAUGGACUAAUUAGUCUUAAUAGAUUCCUCUCGCGAAUUAGCCUCCAUCUGUGCAAUGGGUUUUUUAAAUAGUCUAUGUUUAAUAUUCCUAAUUAAUAUCUAAACAUUCGAUGUGACAUGAACUAAAGUUUAGUCCGUGGAACCAAACGGGCCUGAUUCGGUGGCCUCCAAUGGCCAUUGGAUAUCUAUGGUGAUGUUGUGCGGUGCGCGACUCUCUGGACCGCAAACGCAACUACCUCUUCUGUCGAGAUAGGAACAAGUGCCAGACCCUCACUUUGCCGCACGUGCAAACAUCCUUGUUCUGUCCUUUUCAACUCUCCACCCCAUUUUGGACAUUGUGGGUGUGUUUGGUUGCAUGCACCACAUAAUGCAUGUAUGAAUGAUCUUAGAUGGUGGGGUUCAACCAAUUUGCUUGUACCAUAUGUUUUACUCCUACCAGUAGAAUAAUAAAUUAAGUGGAUGGUUUCAUCAUGGAUGAGUUGGUACAAUUCACACAACAAAACAAAAGAAUCAUUAUUAUUUUGAACCAUUUCAUAUAUGAACCAAAUAAUUUCAUACAUGAACCAAAUAAUACAAGUAACCACACACACCAUGUGUCUCCAUGCAUGUUCGGUAUAGUUAGUACUAGUUUGUUAUGCUCUUGUUAGAAUUUGGUAGUCAUGUUAGUAACAGAAUGGAUGUUUUAUGUUAGCAUCUUGUUAGCAUUUCGGCUACUAUCCGUCUCUACGCAUGUUUGGUAUAGUCUGUUUUCCUGUGUUGUUAGCAUUUUUGGUAGUGCUCAUGUUAACGGAAUGGUUCUUUUAUGGGGUUUAGCUCAAAUCUGGAACAAUCUAGCUGUUGGAAGAAAUAUUUGUACAGAAAGCUGAUGGGGAUUGGGACUGAAACUUUAUCCAGUAUGUUACUGCAGGUUUGCAUUGCAAUAGUGAUUGGAAGUCAGUAAAACUUGCUUGUCUUAAGGUGGUCAGAAUGUUCCUUUUCUCCUGCUCAGUAAAUCUGCAUUCUAGAAAAGGCUAGUUCAAUGGUUUUGCCAGGUGCAUUACUGGCAAAAUAAAUUAUACUCAUGAUGCAUCCACAGAGUCUCUAUACUGUUCUUAUUAGUGAAACAAUUUUAUAAAAAUCACGACCUAAUUCGAGCAGAAACGUGUCAUAUAUACCAAUGUGACUUACUAAUAAUGAAAUCAUAACUUCGAGAAACAAACUAAUUCGAUAACUAUCGAAAUACCAAGAUAAAACGGGAAUACCGACCCAUACAAACAAGAAACAAAACCCAAUCAUCCAACCAACACGCGACAUAACGCUAUGGUUCAAAAGGGCGCUAAGCAAGCCAAGCUGCCAGGACAUGCAUGAGUGCAUCGCUGCAUAAGUCCUUGGACACACAAACAAGAGAGUAGUAGUAUAUUUUUUUCAUAUUUUUCGUAUUUCAUAUUUUUCAUUCCGUAUUUCACUUUUAUCCGAAAAUACGAAAAAUGAGCGGAUGAAAUGUAGAAAACGAAUCGGGACGGAUCCGAUCGUUGUUUUCAACCCUAAUACAAAUGAAACAAUUACAUGAUAGCUUAAUUCACGUAAAGGAAACACUUUUGUUUACCAGGUCAUAUAUAGAAUCACAUGUCGGUGGUAAGUCAUCACGUUGGUAUGAUGACACGGUACCAGUUCUAUAAGUUGUCUAAGGAAGAAGAGACCAUGCAACCACCAUGUGCAGGCUUGAGGAUCCGAUGUGAAAAUAGCCUUCAUUUCUCAGGGCUGACUUAGCUACAAAACCAAACUUCUUCUCAAGCUUAGUGCUGCUCUCGCCAGCGUCACCUAGCUGUUCAGCCUUGAUGCCAAGGAUCACUUCAGCCCUCUCCUCCACGACGACUACUCGGCGCUGCAGUGUGACCUCCCCAUCCUCGUUGACGAACACCUCCUUGCCUCUGGUGUCCAGCAGCACUACAUCCUCACCAAUGCUCGUGUUGCAGGCAGUGAGGCGUGCACUAAAGUUGCCUGAUCCCUUGCUGAUGCGGGCAGUGAUGGUCGCCUCCACGGAGCGCUUGACAUGAGCGUACCUGACCUCCACUGUGCUAUGCUUGCUUGAAAGCACCUCUGUUCUGGUGUAACUGAGACUGCCUCUGUAAGAAAUGUUGUUGUAUCCAAAGAAAUCCAAGCAUAAAAUCUUGUCAUCUUCAGGCAAUGAACUCCCUUUGUCCUUCACUUUCAGGUCAAUCUCAAAAACAGGCUCAUCCCACAGCAGGAUAGAUCCGCUAGGACCUGUAAGUUCCAAAAGACAAUCCUGCAUACAGUGGCACACAAAUUAAAGGCCAGCAAAUUUCAAUUGCCUUUAGGAACACCAUCACUAAAGGUGCAUCAGCAGCCAGACAAAUUAAAGGCCCGCAAGUUUCAAUUGCCUUUGGGAACACCAUCACUAAAGGUGAAUCAGCAGCCAGCAAUUUAUUUCACCAGUGAUGCACAUACAAAACCACUUAAUAGCAUUCUCUAAAAUGAAGAUUUAAGGAUCAGGAAUGUGCCCACCUACUGAAAUCUUGCAUGUCAGGGCCAGCCAACCAAGAACUGAAGUGGAUACCAACUAUAAAGCUAAAUUUGAUAUACUUUUAAAAAUAUAACCAAGUUAUACUAUUUACGUUUUAAGAGCCAGCAGCAACAUGCAUAAAGUAUCUCUGAUGGAAAGGUUCUGAUCCUAAUUCACAGUAUCAACCUGUAUAAAUAUUUCUUCCGAAUGCUAGCGUGGAGCUAAACGCCAUAAAAAUCAGCUGAUAUUACCAGUACUACCAAGCAGAUUGCACCAUAUACAUGCAUUGAGAUGCUUAUACUAGAUUAAAUGGGAGAUGGAAUAUGACUGAAGUUGAA